rnacentral:lncRNA from 1 species
ACGGCGUCAAGUUCGGCGAGGCCGUCUGGUUCAAGGCCGGCUCCCAGAUCUUCAGCGAGGGAGGCCUUGACUACCUCGGCAACCCCAGCCUUGUCCACGCCCAGAGCAUCCUUGCCAUCUGGGCCUGCCAGGUUGUACUCAUGGGCGCCGUCGAGGGGUACCGUGUUGCCGGUGGCCCGCUCGGUGAGAUUGUUGACCCACUCUACCCAGGCGGCAGCUUCGACCCCCUUGGCUUGGCUGACGACCCAGAGGCAUUCGCUGAGCUCAAGGUGAAGGAGAUCAAGAACGGCCGCCUCGCCAUGUUCUCCAUGUUUGGGUUCUUCGUCCAGGCCAUUGUCACCGGCAAGGGUCCCCUCGAGAACCUGGCCGACCACCUGUCCGACCCAGUGAACAACAACGCCUGGGCCUUCGCCACCAACUUCGUCCCCGGCAAGUGAGCUUAGUUAGCAAGCUCCAGCGCCUGCUCUAUGCUGAGGCGCUUGGCCGACGACGUCAUUGUUGAUGAUGGAUGCUGCUGCAUGUGUCGAGAUUGAGUCAGGAGUCAGGACUGAUAGAUGUUGCAUGUGAAAGUCAGAGAUGAGGAGUUGGUGUUGUACACUAAAGAUGGUGUUUGUGUAAUAUCCCUCGGUUAUUUGUGAGAUGAAUCCGGGCAUCUUUGUUCUUCUGCUCACUUGUUCAUUUCUCUCUCCUCUUGAAUGCGUGCUGUUUGCAUUAGAAGGAGAACGCCGAGAAAGCGCACCUCACUCGUUGCAUUGGUUCUACUUCCUCUGAAUCUGAAUGUGUCUGAAAGUUGUCUGAAUUUUCUGAAAGUCCAAGCCGGUAAGUUGUCUGAAUUUUCUGAAGUCAAAUUUCUAUUUAAAUGUUGUACAAAUCUUGGGUUCCUCCUAGUAAAAACAAACUAUGGAACACUGCCAACUAGUGCAGCUUCCUUGUGAAGAUGCUGCUGUACUACCGUCCCUGAAGAACGGUCAUGGUUAUGCUGUUCCUGGUGUUCUCAAGAUCGUCUCUCUUUGCUUCCAUCAGCGCGAGAUAGGCAGGCUGGUUUGGUUUCGGCAGCGACAAUGUCGACGACGAGGACCCGCUUCCAUUCUCCAGGAUGGACACGACGGCCGACAUGAGCGGCCUCCUGCUCGGGUCGCCCUCGACGCAGAGGAGCCCGACGUGGAUGCAGAGCAAAGCCUCCUCCUGCGAGCAGCUUCCUGCGAUGGAUGGAUCCACCAGGCCGCCUGCCUUUCCUUCCCUCCACAGGUUCCAUGCCUGCAUGAAACAAUCAAAUCAACCAUUCUGUGUUUUUUCUCUUAAAAUUCUGGUGUCAGUGGCUGUUCUAAUUCAGAUGCUCACAUAGACUAUGAGGCUUGGAAACUCCAUGAUGUCAUCAGGAGAGCUUAUCCUGACACCGCUCACGAUCUCCAGGAGCAGCACGCCGAAGCUGUAGACAUCGGACUUGACAGAGAAAACGCCCUCCGUAGAGUAUUCAGGAGCAAUGUAACCACUGUCCAGUGUCCCCACAAAGUUUUCAGAAGACGUGCCAGAAUUUUGUCAAAUGCUAAAAGCUAACUACAGCUUAAAAAGCAAAAUCUAUUUUUUUGUUUGUAAAUCUAGCUUCAGUAUUCAGAGUACUAACAAUGUUCCGACGACUCGCUUGGUGUUGGCAUUCUGCUGGUUGUCGCAGAAGAUCUUGGCCAUGCCGAAAUCCGCUAUCUUGGGCCGCAUCUCAGCAUCCAGCAGCACGUUGCUUGCCUUGAGAUCUCGGUGUAUCACUGUCAACCUCGAGUCCUGGUGGAGGUAGAGGAGCCCCCUCGCGACGCCCUUGAUUAUCUCCAGCCGCGUCGGCCAAUCCAGCACCGAUUUCCUUUCACUAUCUGAAGCAAAAAGAUCACAUGAGACCGUCAGGAAUCGUAUCAUCAUUUUCUGUUCUUUCUUUCUUCAGUAACUUGCUUGAGUUCUGAACAUAUAUACAUACCGAAGAGGAUGGCGUCCAGGCCUUUGUUGGGCAAGUACUCGUAGAUGAGCAACUUCUCUGCUCCUUCCGUGCAGCAGCCGAGGAGACGGACCAAGUUUCUGUGUUGCAGUUUGGCGAUCAGGAUGGCUUCGUUCUUGAACUCUUCUGUUCCUUGGUCAGAAUCCUUGCUCAGUCUCUUGACAGCAACCUCUCGACCGCUCUCUAAUGUCCCCUUCCGAAUGAUACAUGAAACAGGCGAGAUCAUGAGUAUAAUUCAGUAUUUCAGUGCAUCGAUCAAUGCUUCCGAGUUGAAAUUUAUUUAUUUUGGUAAACUGGAAGAAGAGAAAAAUUCUCAGAUAACUGAAAAAGUGAAAAUCAACAGGCCAGAUGAAAAAUCAUACUACCUUGUAAACCUUGCCGAACCCUCCACGCCCGAUCAUGAAUGCUUUGGAGAAGUUUCCCGUGGCGGCCACGAUGUCGACGAACCGUACGGAUGGGAACUCAAGAUCUUCAGCGUGUUCUCCUUCUCCGAUCUCAGUCGACGUAUUCGCGCUCCCGGGCACCAGCUUCUUCUGGCUCUCGGUUUUUCUCCCCUUUUCUGUAAAUUUUGAUGUCCCAAGCAUUUCAUCUCCGAUGAGCAUGGCAUGUUUAGAGAUACUAAUAAAAAGAGAGGAAGAUAAUAUAAUUGUAUGUAGCACCUCUGAACCUACAGAACCACACAAACAAAAUGCAUGCGAGCAACAAGACGCCGGCUAACACCGGCAGUGCUAUUUUCAAGGCAUUUUUGCUUGCCAUUGUACCUGCACGUGCAAAAAGUCAAAACAAUGGCAAAGUUUGGUGACACAAUCGAUUUCGGCCAAAGGGGCAAACUUCUUCUUUGAAUUCUGUUGAAAUCCAAUAAAAUUCUGGAAAAAAGUCCGGUAGUACUACUAAGAGCUGAUUUCUAUUUCAAUCUGGGUGAAAUUCAGGUACUGCUGGUUUUUGAAGUUGUAACUACCUGCGGAACCAGCAGGAGGAAGGGGGACGCGAAGGUAUAGCGUGUCGGCUAGGGAGGCCCAGAGGGGCCCAAUCAUCUGCGUGUCGACGAGGUCCCCGGCCCACAAGAGGCACCGCCUGACGUCCCCCUUGGCGCUGCUGCUCUGCAGCUUGGCGUACGCGUACGCCAUGCAGGAGCAGUUCCCGGCGCACCUCGCCGCGCACUCCUCGGCGCUCCUGUUCCCGCCGUCCAGCACGAACUUGUCCGGCACCUUCACCCCCGCCAUGGCCAAGAACCCACUCCCAUGCCCGCACGGCGGCAGCGGCUCCUUCCGCCGGCACCCCUUGGAGAAGUCACCGCCGGUGGCCCACGCCGGCUCGAAGCCGUCCAGGCACCUGCAAGCCGCCGCGGCGACGUCGCAGUACCCGUAGGGCCCGCAGUAGCCGUACCGGCUGCACCCGCUGGACGGCCAUGACCCCACCGUGGCCCACGCCGAGGCGCUGCCGUUCCAGCCGAGGAGCUGGAACUGGCCGGAGCUGGUGAGGACGAACCGCGUGGGGGCCGCGCCGGGGGAGACGGUGAAGGUGUUGGAUAUCUCGUCCUCGGUGUCGACGAUGGCGGUGUACACCACGGUGCCGGUGCCGCUGACGUAGCUGGCCUGGACGGUGUAGCCGUUCCACACGGGGCUGCGCCAGUGAGGGCGCGUCCCGUCCCAGACGAGCAGCUGGAGGGCGGUGUCCGGGUCCAUGCCGUAGGAGAAGCGCCCCGGGGACGGGUCCUCGGGGGAGCUCCAUGACACGAGGCGCCCGCCCUCGUGGGUCCGGUGGUUCAGCCAGACCUUCAUGCCCGGGAGGAACGUGUCGGCCGGGUGGUCGAAGCUCUGCCACAGCGCGGUCCCGUUGGCGGACCGGAGGACCAGGUUGCCGGCGUUCGUGAGCACGGCCAGCGCCGCGGGCGGCGAGCCGCUCGCCAUGCCGGUCGUCCAGACCGCGCGCCCGUCGGCGUCGGACAGGACGAGGUUGGAGGAGUCGUUGUCCAGCGCGAGCCUCGGCGCAGAAGUGCCGUUGGUGAUGGGGGUUUCCCGGUUGGCGACCCACACGACGGUGUUGACGGGGAUGCUGUUGUACCAUAUGCCGAGGUACUGUCUGUCCGGAGUGGAGAUGGACGGGGAGAAGAAGCCCAGAGCGAAGGCGCCGCCGUCCGACACUAGGGGCUUCCCGGGCGCGAGCAGCUCGCCUGCGACCAGCUCGUCGCCGGCCCCCGCGCACGGGCGCGGCGAAAGGAAGAAGAAGCAGACGACGGCCAGGGCCGCGACGACGACGACGCGGCCGGCAGCACGCGCCAUGUCCGUCGAUCGAUCGCGAUCGAUCAACAGCGUUGAUUGAGACGGGAGAAAGAACUCAAGCUUGGCAUUGGCAUGCAGCUAGUAGUAUCAUUUUGCGCUGGAUUGUGAUGUCUGUUGAGUCAGGUCGCGCGCCUUGGCCUGCAAGAAGUCUCUCAACUCCAUUGGAUCCUUCCUGUUGGUUGGAGUUGGAGAUGGACGUUUAUUCAGCGCUUGGACUGGACAGUCUUUCUCUGUGACGCGAUCAAGGCCAACAACUGCACAGUUGAUUUUUUUUAGGGAUGCACAGUUGAUAUCUUAUGCUUUUGGAACGAUGGUGCGACCCGAUUAACGCGCUCAAGUCGCAGGUAAAACCUACGGGUACCUAGACUCAGAACAUAUGAAAGAAAAUCUGAAAUUGUUCCGAACGUUUUAUUCAGUCAUUUGUUACACAAUAUGGAUUUAUUUCUGAAUUUGUUCAUAGUUUGGACCGGACUAGGUGCGACCUUGCGGAGUACGUUGCUCCGCAUGAUUGGAUGGAAAUCUACAAACCAUGAUGCCAUGGUCAAUCUCAUGAGUUACAGUUUAGACUUCAGAGCUGUGCGUGCGUGCAUAUGAACGCGUGCGCGGCGUGCCCUUCACCUCAGUCAACGCGCGCUUUGUCUUCUCACACAGCUUGUUCCUCACACUCUAACUUUGCCCCGACCGUGUUGUUCUACCAUUCUGUUUUAAAAGCAAGCAAACAAAAUUUGCCUUUGUAACAACACGUCAGAGAAGAAGAACAACAACACCUAAUCGCUGACGUAGAAUCACUUCUGUCGAGUUGGGUUUUGUCAUGUCCUGAAUUAUUUUACAGGUAUUUUGAUAAAAGAUGUGGCAGAGUAGGUAAUACAGACACAUUCUCUGUCACACAAAGGUACACCUCGAUGAAUUUUGGUUGGCCGCAAGAUAUAGACUACUCCAGUAUCUGGUCUUGUAAGAUUUAUGCUUGACUUCUUAUCAAGCAAGGGAUUAAGGUAAGAUAUGUGUUGCUGAAGCAAAAAAAAAAAUUGUGGAGGAUGAUAAGUGCACAUUCGGCUGUUCCUUCCUGAGCUAGUAUCUGUAAAGUUAAUACCUACUAAAUGCAUUUAACGUUUGCAAGUUACAAAUGCAAAGUGUCCAUAUCAUCGUUCACAUUACCAUCCACCCCAUGUAUUCUAGCCCACAAGCAAUCCAUUUUGGUGACUCCUACGACUCAACCUUUUAUCUCCUAAGAAUCUUUACCCACGUUGUAUAUAAAUAUUUCACCAAGUAUAAUAUCUAUGAAGUUGAUCCUCACUAAAAUGCAUUUUGUUUGCAAGCUCCAUGUGCAAAGUGUUCACAUCACCAUACACGUCAUGUGUUGUAGCUCGCAAGCAAUUCAUUGUGGUGGCUCCCUACGAUUCAACAUUUUAUCUCGUAAGACUUUUCACCUUGAUGUUGUAUGUAAAUAUUUCACGAACUAUCCUUUUUUUUAUGUGUGCGUUGUUUUUUCUAAGAAAUGCGAAUACUUCCUGAAGCUUUUUUUCGAUUUUCCAAAAUUUACUGUUCAUGUACAUCAAAAUUGCUCCUAUUCUUUGGAUGAUGAAGUAGUUUGGCCAUACAGUAUUCAUAUUUGUUUUGUAUUUGAUCAUAUUAUUAUCAUUUAUUCUUACGUCAUGUCUAGAUGUGCAAACAUAAUUUUUCGUGGCAGCGCGGGGAAUCAACCAGUUGCAUGUGUGGAUCCUUGAUCUACAAGCAAAACAGAUUGCAGAAGAAAAUCCUUUUUUCCCCGAAAAAAAGAUUGCAGAAGAAAAUGAAUAAAUGCUUUGACGAAUGGCUUGUUGUAGCAUCCCCGUAAGUUCCAGACGAUUGAAUAAUGCAAAGUUUUCGGAAUUCUCGUAGAUUUUGGUUUGGCAGUUGACAUUUUAGCUGUCCACGUCGGAGUUUUUUUAAGAACAGUCCACGUCGGAGUUGGGAUGCCACGCCACCGUCAGUGCGACUAGUCAACUAUACUGACUGAAACAUUAGCUAUACUGGUCCGGCCCAGUUUUUGUUUUUGAACACGGGCCGGCCCAGCUGGUCCAGCUCUGGCGCGGCUGAAUCGGAGGGUCAAAACGACGAGGCCCAAGGCCGACAAGACCACGACCCAGCCGCCACGCAUAGUGUGUGUGUUAUGAAGCCCACGCCCACUUAGCAAAGUAAUUGGGCCCAUCGGCAGACGGUCUUCUUUCUUUCAAGAAACAGAACCAUGCCAAGGAAUUAGGCCGGCCUCUGCUGAGCAACACAAGGUUUCGAUUUUCCUGUGGCGUGAUGGUCGAGCGAACGACCGAACGUGGCUCCAGAGCUUCGGACGCGGACCUCAAGGCCUUUUGCGUAAAAGAUGGAGGCAGGUAGAGGUGCAACACCGUGACCUUUAAGGUAUCUUUUAAUUCUCUUUAGUUCAAAUAAAUGAACUAGUUUUUAAAAAAUUGUGUCAUUUUAAAAUUUUAAUCCAUUUAGUUGAACUAAGGAUGGUCAAAGGGUAUCCUGAUGGUCGCAUUUUGCAGCUCUAGAGGUAGGGAGUUUAUAUAAAAAAACAGCUCGACCUGUCAUCCCACGAGUUUGAUAAGUGAUUGUGUCAGAAUGCGAGGUCAUAGGGUAUAAAGAUUGUAUAUGGACGUAUAAUGCAACUUUGAGGACCCAUGAGAGCAGAUUGCAAUAAAGAGAACUAAAUCAGACCGCACCAUCAAAUUUAUGGGUCACGUAUGCAUUCCAUCGUUCUUCCAAUGAUAUGAUAGAAUGAGUGGAAUCAAGUAGUGACCGUGUGCCAUCUAUAAGUGUGCUUUGCGGCUUAUAGUCUGGUCCAUGCUUGCAUAGAGCCAAAAGUCGCUGACAUGAUCAAGUUCCAUGUAAUCUGAACUUUAAAAAUAUAUUUUUUCGAACGGCUGGUGGCCGAACUUUAUUAAAAAAUCAGAGGAGUACAAGGCGGGUGCUUUUCAGAACAAAAGCAGGCGCCCGUGCGUUUAGCAAAAUGGAACUAUUAAUCUGGUCCAAAAUCUGUUUUCACCUUUCAGUUUCUAAGAAACAUGGGUUAGCAAAAUCUUUUCCUAAAGAGAAGGACGAUAUCUAGGAAGAUUGCAGUGGAAACAUGGCUUAACAAUGGGCAAUCAAUGUGCCAACACCAACACAGGUUGCUGAGUGUUUGAACGGACAACGUACGUCCAGCUCCAGCCUCCAGGACGUGCACCCACUAAGAUGUCAGAAACGAAAAAUUCCACACUAAACUGGAAUACGGAGUACUUUAUUCUGCUAUACAGGAAUAUUAAACCUAACAAGGAAUGAUGAAUAGAGAAAUAGCAAGAUAAUAUAUAAUAUACAUUGUACAAUAAGCAAAAUUGUGACAAUUUGGGAAUAGAGAAAUCAAAACAUCGACGACUUUUCUCGGCAAGAAAAACAUCGACGACUGGAAGCUGCAUGAUGACUUCGUCAGGCUAUUUCAGACUUGGCUCGAGUUGACAUUAAUUUGUUCCUCUUCCCACUUCGUUGGUACUUCCUUCGAUCCAUAUUAAUUGUCAAAAUCUUACAUGUAUCCAGACGAUUUUUAAGCAUAGAUACAUCCAUAUUUGGACAAAUUUAAAACAAUUAAUAUGAAUCGGAGGUAGUAGGAUAAUAUUGGUAUUCCGAGCCACGCGGGAGCUGUGGCUGAUUAAGUAGCAUUAGAGGGUUCAAACCUUGAAAGAAAGACUGCUAUAAAAAAUCCUCACGGCUGAUGUCUUGCCGGCGAGGGGCUAGCACAUGUGUGUUACCAGCAAAAAAAAGUGGGCAUGUGUAAUGAUUAGUGGCUAUCCUUUGAUGAUCACGUGUAACUUGGUCAAAAUUCGUUAUCGAGUUUACACUCGCCUGGGUGGAUAAUUGGUUUGUGAGAGGAUCUUACGGGCUUACGGCAUAUCCCGGAAACAAUCGACCCAGCACAUGCUAUAUGUCCUCGGGAGUGUUUGAAAGGAGGGACCGUAAUAGUUGCCAAAUCUUCGACGCGGCAAAGAUGAAUUGUGAUGAAAUAUAUUUCAAGGUUGUUUAUUGUUAUUUGUUUCGUAUCAUAGGUUGAUAGUUUUUUCUUAUAAAUUUGGUCAAACUUUUAAAAGUUUGACUUAAGACAAAAAUCAUAUGCUUUAUAAUAUGGAAAGAAGGGAAUAGCAUGCAUGACAAUUUUGUCGAGUGCGUCUUUUUUUGGACCGAUACUGUUCUGCAUAUCUUUUCUGAUAAAUAUAUACAACUAUAUAAUUGUAUGAUUAUUAUUUCAUCGCCCUUGUAUCUCAGUAAGAGUAAAAUUGUUCACAGAGUUCUGAAUAUCAACUCCGAUUUGCUCCAUUUCAGCGCUCCGCCGCGCAAAGUAUGCAGGGCGAUUAGGCACCGGCAAUGUUGUGCUUCCGUUCUCCAAGACAAACACUACGGCUGACAUGGCCGGCCUAUCAUCUGGAUUUUCCUGGACACAUAAGAGAGCUACGUGGAUGCAAAGCAACACUUCAUCCGAUGAAGAAGUGUCCAUGAUAGAUGAGUCCAGCAAUUCCUUCGUCUUUCCUUCCUUCCACAUACUCCAAGACUGCAAAAAAAAACAUUGCAUAUUUUUUCGUUUUGGUUGUUAAACAUUUUUCAACAACUAUGUUUGUAUUUAUACAACUUUAGAGUUCUUUCCAUAUAUACUCACAUAGAUUAUGAGGUUAGGGUAGUCCAUGGUAGCGGAGCUUCUCCGUUUGCCGGUUACAACCUCCAAUAGUAACACACCGAAGCUAUAGAUGUCGGACUUGGUAGAGAAUAUGCCUUCCAUUGCAUACUCAGGAGUCAUGUAGCCAUUGUUUGAUCAUUUCAUUUGCAAGAGUUAUAUGUUGAACGAGAUUAAUUUGGAUUUAUUUACAAGUUACAAUGAAAAUUCUACUCACUAUGUUCCAACAACGCGUUGAGUAUUUGCAUUUUGCUGGUUGUCACCGAAGAUUCUCGCCAUACCAAAAUCCGCUAUCUUGGGUUUCAUAUCUGCAUCUAACAAAACAUUUCCAGCUUUUAGAUCUCUGUGAAUUAUGGUCAAUCUUGAAUCUUGGUGGAGGUAAAGAAGUCCCCUUGCAACCCCUUUGAUUAUAUUAAACCGCGUCGCCCAAUCCAACAACAAUUUUCUUGAAUCAUCUGUGGCCAGAAACAAAUGUAAGAAAAUGUGUUUUAGAUUCGUCUUAGGAAAUCAUGACGUGUGUUGCAAGAGUAUGUACCAAAAAUGGUAGCAUCUAAGCUCUUGUUAGGCAGAUACUCGUAAAUCAACAACUUUUCAUCUCCCUCCCCACAACAUCCAAGAAGCCGAACCAAGUUUCUGUGUUGCAAUUUGGCAAUUAGAAUUACUUCAUUCUUGAAUUCCUUUAUCCCUUGCUGUGAAUCCUUGCUUAGCCUCUUGACAGCAACUUCUUGGCCACCUAACAUUCCCUACGGAGUUGUGUGGAAAUUUAUAUCCGGAUUUGUCUUGUGAGCAACUCAAUUUUACCGAUUUAAGAACAGAGGAUAGGAAACUACUAUCGAACUACUUACCUUGUAUACUUUUCCAAAGCCUCCUUGUCCAAUUACACACGUUUCAGAGAAGUUGUGCGUUGCUAUGGCAAUUUCCUCAAAUCUUACAAAUGGGAAUUCAUGAUCGCGUGGAGGGUUUCCUUUCCCAAGUUCAUAAGAGAUACUCAUACUAUCCAAUGUCUAUCAUCUUCUGCUUUCUCUUUUUCCUGUUCUUCCCUGCUCCCACAAUUUCAUAAACAUUUCAAUUCAGGAAAUAUACCUUGCAAUUUAAUCCACAAGAGAUGGUCAAAUGGACUUUAUCAUCAGGAAAUAACCCUAUACGUACUAAGGUACCUUGCAAUUUUAGCCAUGCCAGGAAAAUGCACAUGAGGAUCACAAUAGUACCGCCCAAAACUGGCAGAGAAAUCUUAACCGUGGUGCUGUGUUUACCUGUGCAAAACGUACACACACAUAGCACAUCGCACGAAAUAAAUGGAAAUACAUCUGUGAAAACAAGAAAUUCAGAUCAAGAAUUGGUACCAUCCGUUGCGUCCAGGCCUGCAAUGCGGAGAUAGAGCGUGUAGCUGCCGAGCGCCUCGGCGCCGACCUUCCCGUCGUCAAUCAGCCCGCCGGCCCACACGAGGCACCUCGUCAAGUUUCGCCGCGGCGACUUCCCGGCGUCGCUGCUGCCCAGGUUGGCGUACGCGUACGCCACGCACGAGCAGUUGCGGCCGCACUCCGCCGCGCACUCCUCCAGCGUGCCGCCCCGGUCCCCGCCGACCACCGCGAACCCGUCGGGUGACUUCAUCCCCGGCAACGCCAAGAAGCCGCCGUCGUUGCCGCACCCAAGCAGCGGUUCCUUCCGCCGGCACCCCUCCGAGAACUUCCCCUGGCCCCACUCCCCUGCGCUCGCCGGCUCGAAGCCUUCGAGGCACGCGCACGUCGGGGACGAUGGCGCCGCCGCCGUCUCGUCGCAGUACCCGUACGGGCCGCAGUGGCCGUAGCGGCUGCAUUCCGUGGACGGCCAGUGCGCGAGGACGGCCCACGAUGACGAGGCGGCGCUCCAGCUCUGGAGCUGGUAAGUGCCGGAGUGCGUCACCACGUACCUGGUGCGCCCGGCGCCGUCGGAGAGCGUGUAGGUGAGGUAGAUCUCGUCGUCUCCGUCGACGAUUGCCAGGUAGACGACGAUGGCCGCGGCGCUGCUGGCGUUGUCCUUGGCCGCGCCCGCCGGUGGCGGCUGGUACCGGCGCUCGCUCUUCACCAGGUACCCGUUCCACGGCGCGCUGCGGGCGACCGGGCGCGCGCCAUCCCAGAGGAACACCUGGAGGGACGUGGCCGGGUCGCCGCCGUAGGAGAAGCGCCCCGGCGAAGGGUCGCCGGGCGCGUUCCAGGACACCAGGCGGUCGCCGGCGCGCGUCCUGUACCUCAUCCGGAUCUUCAUGCCCGGCAGGAACGUGUCCGUCGGGUGGUCGAAGCUCUGCCACAGCGUGGUGCCGUUUGCCGAGCGGAGGACCAGGUUGCCGCUGUUCAGGAGCACCGCCGUCGCCGCCGGAGCUGCGGCCACGUCGGUCUCAGGCGUCGUCGUCCAAAGGACGCGGCCGCCGUCGGAGAGGACGAGGCUGGAGGUGUCGGUGAGGGAGAGCGUGGGCGCGGAGGAGGAGUUAGUAGUGUUUGUGGCCGGGGUUUCUCGGUUGGCGACCCACACCACGGUGAGCUCGGGGAUGCCGUUGUACCAUAUGCCGACGUACAGCCUUGCCGGAGUAGUGGAGUUGGAGGGGCUGAAGAAACCCAGGGCGAAGGCGCCGUCGUCGGAGACGAUGGUAGCGCCAGGGGAGAGCGGCUUGCCGGGGACGAGGCGGUCGUCGGCCGCACGCAACGGCAGGAAGAUCACAAGGAUCAGGAUAGUGAUGGAGCACGCGAGAGCCCACCGGUCCAUUGGUCGAUCGGACAGGCCCAAAAAACUUCUGUUGUACUGUACGUACGAGCAUGUGGAAAGGAAUGUAAUCCGCUAGUCGUACACAGUGACUCGUACUACUAUUUCGUUGUUGAUGCUGACAUGCUGUUGUUUACAAGCCUUGAUCGGACCCGUUCCAGCAUUCGAUCGCGUGGAUUACGAAAGCAGAUGGCUGAAAAAUGCAUAGUUCUUGAAUCCUGCGGUAGGAGCUCAGAGUGUUUUGGAUUUGACAUCUCAGCUGUCCACGUCGGAGCAGAGCGCGAUACGGCGAUAGUCAUCGUGCUCGUGUGAACCCAGCUGGUCAAACCGCGGCACGGUUGAAUCCAAACAAACUUUACCCUAUUUUUCUAGGGAAACAAACCUUUUAGCUUUGUAAUUGAGGCCCACGGGCCACGGGAAUUAAUGGCCCAGCGAGAGCUCUACCCAGUCACCCACCCACGUCCGGCCUAGUCGCGGGGUGCGGCCUCGCUGGUCGGUCGUCGCUUCGUGUAAUAUACUCCGAUUAGGCAAAUUAGGCAAAUCCGAACUGAUCUCCAAUAAGAAAGCCAAUCCGAACGCAUCACGUAAUUCCGGCAGCAGCUAUAUUUAGUGACUCCUGUAUGCAGCUCGAUCGAUGCCUUGGAUCUCUUGAUGCUCCCCAGACCGAUUGAAUCGCCUGCCUCGAUCGAAGAUACAACACUUGGUUAAGUUUGAUACUACUACCAAAUUAACGAAUUUGAUUUAGAUCGGAGAGAGAAGAUGGGAUCGUCGUCAAGAACAGGGAAUAACCGAGUGGAGGAUCGUCCGGAGGAGGAGGAGGACGAGUUGUUCGUGGCCCGUGUCGGCUUGUCCGUGACCUUUGUCGUCAUCUUCAUCCUCUUUCUUCUCGUCGACACGGGCGUGAUCAAUCCCGGCGCCCCCAAGUUUCUCAAGAUCUUCUAUGGGGUGACGGGGCUCAUCUGCCUGCUCGGUGCUGCCAUCCUCGUAGUCGACUGCCUGCGUGAACGGGAACACUGGCCGGCGCCCUUUCGCCGUACGCGCAUUGCCGGGCCCGCCGAUCUGCCGGCCUGCGACGCGUGUUAGUCUGCUAGCUAUAUUGCCUGCCCUUUUUUUCACCAAGAAGCUGGAGUACCUUUUUUUUUAGGUGUUCACCAAGUAGCUACCUUGCCUGCCUUGGUUCGGCUCAUCGAUCUUACCGUUAUAAUAGGGUUUUUUUUCGUGCUUUGCCACAGCCUUUAAAAUACACCGGUUACCAAAUAAUGUAAUGUUUGUGUGUUGCAACGGACAAACAAAUUUGAUCUAUGUACUUGUUUCCUGAUGUUUUUUAUUUUAUUUGAUCUAUGUACUUGUUUAUUGGUUAAGAUACAUGCGAAGUACGAUAUGAUGUACUCGUCUCAUAAUGAUCUAUGUAUUGUUUAUUCAUGAUUUUGAUUUUUUUUAUCUACGUACUUGUUUCUUGGUUAAGGUACAUAUGAUGUACGAUAUGAUGUACUCGUCUCAUAAGAGGUAUGGUACCAAAUUAUCACAGAUGUUCAUGCUAUGAUUUUUUUUAAUAGCUGUGAUGUACCAUACGAUGUACUCGUCUCCUAAGUGCAUAUACUCGAGGUACUCAAAAUCUGAUAAAAUACAUGCCAUGCACCAUAAUGUAUUUAUCCAUGUACCAUAAUGUACUUAUAAGGUAUAGUUCAUAUACUUACAAAAGGAAAAAAGUCCGAGUGCCUAACAAAAAAAAAAGAGAGAAGAGCAAAAGUUGUUAGGUUUUUUAAUUUAAAGCAAAAGACAUUAACCAAGAGGAAGAUGGAGAAGGCCAAACAUGUAGCCAGCACCGUGGGCGCAAAUGCCACCAGUGGCACCAUUUCUGAAGGGGCGCGUAGAGAUAAACAAAAACUUUUUCUACACGAACUCCCAAGAUCUAGCCGAGGUAGAAGGCCACGAGGAUUACCACUAGACGCGCAGUUGCGGAUUAUCGAUGCAGCGCCUUGAUGCAGUGCAGUCCCUCGAUCCGAUCCAGCCGAUCCAAUCCCGCGAUCGUCGAAGUGCUGAACGUACAGCACCUCUGCCGGUAUCCACACAUGCGAGGAGGAGCUCCGGCGGCGGACUGCUAGGUCCGGUGCGAUGGUUGGACUGAAUGGGGCUAGGGUUCUCAACGCAUGAGAGUGGCGAACCGUGCCCCUUAGGCAUCCCACGCCCCUGCUUAUAUACCGAGUGGAAGUGGGCUUCAGCACUUGUGGCCCAUCCACUCUGCGAGUCGAACUCGCAUUGUCAGUCCAUUUCCGGUUUGGGUCCAACCCGACCAAAUACUUGCUUCCGCUCUUAAGUGUGUGACCCCGCAGGCUCAUGGCGACUUGGACACGAUUGGAGUCCGACUCUCAAUCGAUCAACCUGUAGCGGCUCCUAGCAGAACGUGCCGACUCCCAAGUACCAUCGAGUCAUGACGACGUACCUUCCAAUGUGACAUACGUCUUAGUCCCUUUUGCCUCACGAUAUACCUUGUCGAACUAUAGGCGAUUAAUCGUCAUCCCUUUAAUAGUUCAACUCUCUUCUCGAUCUGUGAUAUGCGAUUCAUCCGACUAACUCUUAGUCGAUCGACCCAGUUAACAGUUAACCGAGUCGCGCAUGGCCAUGCUUCCCGAAUCAUAUCACUCGAGAGGGCCCAGAGAAUAUCUCUCCAGUCGGAGGGGCAAAAUCCCAUCUUGGUUAUCCACAUCACAUAGCUUGAUUCUCAGUCAACUCGAACUCUGCCUUUAUAACUGCCCUGUUACGGAACAACGUUUAACAGAACCUAAGUUGGUGAUCCACAACUCGGAUUGUGCGAUAACCUCAGGUCUAAGGAUUACAUUGAUUGAGACAUGCAAAUGACGACCUACUCGUUGCAUCUCAAUAUGGGUCAGUCCGACUCGCUAAACUCUUUAGCCGAGUCCGUGUAAGCUGGAAUGACAUCACCAUGCCCAUGACAAGUGGAACCGAGUCAUCAGCCAACUUUCACAUUAGUUUAGGUUAUGUGUUCAGCACAACCUAAAUGACUAAGGACAAUUUAGUAUGAACAACAUGAAUACAUAGUUCCACAAUCAAAUCACAUAUUCAAUGAUACAUAUCAGAUGUUCAAACAAGGACAACUUAAUAAUCUUUAUGAAUACAUUGGGAAUUACAUCAUACAUGAUUGCCUCUAGGGCAUAUUCCCAACAAUUUCCGCUUUACUUUGAUCGUCAGCGCUCUGGGCUGACGUCACGGCCUUGACGUGCGCGGUGUUUCAUGCACGUCGAUGCGUGUUAGGGUGGUCGCUGCACUGGUUCUUCGGAGGGUUCCAAAGUCCAUGAGUUGGCGUAUGGGAGGCGGUAACCAUCUUUCUGGUGGCUUCUCAUGGCGCCUAUAUAUGUAGAGCUGUUGUCGGCAUUGCUCUGGGCACUUGCGUAUUGCGCUAUGGGUUCUGAACUUCUGAUGGGUUGCUUGGCGCUGCAGAUGUGGAUCCGGCACGAUCGGCAGCAUUGGAGCGUCGGUGUCCUCCCUCUGCCCUAACCACGACGUCCUCCCUCUGCCCUAACCACGGCGCCCCCCCCCCCCUCUUCCCCAACCACGGUGUCCCCCGGUGGCCCCGUUGCUAGAGGUGAAGCUCCGCAGCUAAGGAGGUGCAGUCCGGCGACAUCCAGGCUGAGACUACAGGGAGGUGUGGGGCCAGUGAGGCCAGAACGAUCCACCGGCCGCCAUGUGCCUCCUCACGCCUUUUUUUUUUGAAAAAGAGGGACCCCCUCCUGUUUCCAUUAAAGAAACGAUAGUCUUCUACACAAAUAGACAAAAGUAAGAAAAAGAAGAAAAACAUUCAGCGCGAAGUUCAGAUCACCAGCAGGUCUAGAAAUGAUACUAGCAACAGCAGAGAAAGAGAAAACAUACUACAAUUCAUAGAGCUCCUAGUCAGUAGAUUCAGAUAAAUGUUCUUGCUGCAGCAAUAGUUCCUUCACUUCAUGUAACCUGAACUUCUCCUCCUCCACUACCUCCCUAGCGAAGGCAGAGACCAGACAAAGCAGAAAAGCAGAGACGGCGAAACUUCAGCCCGCCAUGAUGCGACGACAAAGAGGAUGCCAUCCUUUCGCUGUUUCAAAAAUUUCCUUGGCGACAACUUCAACCAGUCUUACCCCCCACCGCAGAAGAUUUCUGCUUGCUUCCUUUCUCUGCAGAACAGACCAAAGAUUGAGCCAAUAACAGAAUCUCUUAAUGAUACCAAAAGGAGAAUAUCUUAAUGAUAUUUGGUCAAAAAAAUAAUAUCUUAAUGAUACCAAAAGGAGAAGUCAAACCAGCAGAUCUACAACAGGCAUCAUUUCUAGUGUUCCAGAGUACCCACAGUAAUCCUGCAACCCCUACCAUAACCAAUUUCCUAACAUUGCCAGAAAAAGCCUGCAUCCAUCCAGUCCAAAUUUGAUCAACAGUAUCCGGCUAAGAAUUUAAAUUGAAAGAACAAUUUAGAAUAUUUCAUAAGAAUCAAGCUAAAGUACACUGGAGGAAAAGAUGAUCAAUUGAUUCAUCCAUCCCACAGAACUGACAUUUGGAAUCCCUUUUCCACCCUCUAUGCUGCAAAACAUCUUUAGUCAAAUCAAAUAUCUCAGCCUCCUCACGUCUGGCGCUGCUCAUUUUUUAGAUUCUGUUCCAUCUUGAUUGAUUCCUUAGUUCACAAAUCAAAGAUCUCAGCCUCUCUUGAUUGCAAUUGGUACGGCGACGGAGAUUUUUCCUCUUUUUUUAGAGCUCUUUUACGGUACCCCACAUUUAAUAUGAUCCAUCCAUUAGUCACGAUCUAAUGGCUAAUAUUGUCCGGUACUCCACUACAAGUUGUCUGGAGUACUACCUCAAGAAUAGACGGAGUACCACGAUAUGAGGGGCAAAAUCGUAAUCAUAAGAAGUUUUUUUUCUCUCGCGGAGUUAUUUUGAUAAUCCAACACUAAAUAUUGUGCCAAAACUCAGGCGUGAAUGUUUUGAUUUACGCCAUCUAAAAAAGUCAUGAACCGGAGAUGAACCCUAAUCCUGAGGAGGUGUGGCGCCAGGCUUUGAUCCAUCACCGGCCGGCGCAAGUAUGCAAGGGACGAGGACGCUCCCCCCGCCGGCGCAAGUAUGCUCGUCGAGCCGCCGCCUUCUCCGUUUCUGAAGACACGAGCAUCGCCGUCAGGGCGCGGACCAGAGCUAGGUUUGGUCAAAAGGUAAACUGGGCCAAACAGUAGAGAUCAGGACGGCGGCGGAGAGCGGGAGACACGACAGAGUGCGGCCUGCACACAGUGCCGAAGGCCAAGGGUCAGCACUGACGCUUGCUCCCACGGCCAACGGCUUGGGCACGCAGGAGACUUGACGAUCCACGAGACCUUGGGCUUGGUUGAUUGAAAGGAGUACGUGAAAGUCCAAGAUGACCUGCGGGUUGCGGAAAUGCCCAGACUGCCCUUGCAGAUGAACGGACAGAUUUGUAUGGUACUCCAUCUUGUGUUUUGGGAGUACCAAUACUGUAAAAACUCUUUUUUUUUAAUUCUUUUCUUACUGCCCUAAACCCAUGGCAAUGUUUCUACUUUCCAGUGUCUUAGUUUGUUGUGGCAGGUAAUACAAUCGUUCCACGUAUAGGCUCCUCAGUUAGCGGCUUAAGCCUCGGUAGACUCCGGCCGCCACAUGCCUACGCUGACGGCUGCAGCUUCUUGCGUUUUGGCGAUGCUAUAAUCCCUUCUGGUGCGGUAAACUCUUUUCUAGCGGUGCCGGUUUCUACCGGCGUGGGAUGGACCAAUCGUUCACUGCCAGCAUGCACCACGUAUCCGGACGCUAUGUAUAUCCUUCAGUAUUCAUUUGUUCCCUCAUUUAUUCAACGUGGUAAUCUCAGUCUGGGUCCCACCAUGUGCUAAAAGAAAAGGGAGCACCAAAGAAGAGCGACGCGGGGCUCUGGACCUCUGUUCGAGGCGUGACGAGCGGGGCCCAAGCAAGGUGCGGGGCCAGGCGGGCAGCGAGCCAGCGACGGGCGCUGGCGCUAGUGUGUGUGAGCAAAUUUGAGGAGGUCUGUACAAAUUUGAUGAAACUUUUCUAAUCCUGUACUAACACAUUUUGAGGUUUGUACAAAUUAUGUAAGGGUUCAAACCAACUCAGAUUUUGAUGAAACUUUGGGGGUUGGCUUAAGAUGGGAACAUCCACCUUCAGUAAACGUUUCAAAAAUUUUGUAGCAAAUUUGAAACUCUGAGAUUUAAAUAUGGUUUAAGUUAAAAGGGCUAGUAAACUAAUUUUGAUUGACGCGAAAUUUUGCAUGUGCUCAUCUUGCAUAUAUGUGAGUUUGUACAAAAAGUUACAUGUCAAAAAGACGAAGUAGAAAAGUGGGUUAUUUCACAUAGGUUUGAAAAGGGGUUUAGUCCGCGCGAGUUCUAAAUUGAUGCAACAAUAAUUAAUACAUGAGAUGAUUACAUGAUGCAUGCUUAAUCUUAAAAUGAUCCUAUAUUAAUCAUCACACUGUAGUUCUCCACCAGCUCGGUCACCUACCGAUGGCGCGCAUGCCGCGCUAGCCACGCACCGCCUUGUGUUGCCCAACAUACCAUUUGUAUAUCAAUUUUUGGGUCAUUACACUAUAGUUCUCAAAUUUGUCGAAAUAUACCAUUUGUAUAUCAUAUACCACAUACCAAUGAAAUAUAUCAUUCAAAUACCACAUACCAAAUAAAUAUACCAUGUACCAAUAAAAUAUACUAGUGAGAUACCGUUGCAAUAUCAUAUACCAUACGAAUGUAGUGUACCAUUUGUAUAUCAUAUAACACCGUAAUAUCAUAUACCACAUUACCAAUGAAAUAUACCAUUCAUAUACCACAAAGCAGAGAAAUAUACUAUUCAUACACCAUGUACCAAUAAAAUAUACCAAUGAGAUACCGUUGUAAUAUCAUAUACCAUACGAAUGUAGCAUACCAUUUGUAUAUCAUAUAACACCGUAAUAUCAAAUACCACAUACCAAUGAAAUAUACCAUUCAUAUACCACAUAACAAAUAAAUAUACCAUUCAUAUACCAUGUAAAAAUAAGAUAUACCAGUGAGAUACCGUUGUAAUAUCAUAUACCAUACGAAUGUAGUAUAUCAUUUGUAUAUCAUAUAACACCGUAAUAUCAUAUACCACAUGCUAAUGAAAUAUACCAUUCAUAUACCAUAUAACAAAUAAAUAUACCAUUCAUAUACCAAGUACCAAUGAAAUAUACUAGCGAGAUACCACCUAAUUUCAUAUACCACAUACCAAUAAAAAUAAUAAUAAUCUAAAAUAUUGCAUCAUGUCAUCAUUACUUAUAUUGGUUGUGCAUCGAUUUAAAACUUUGCGGUCAUCAUUCUUAAACACCUUUUCAAACCUUUGUGAAAUAAAACAUCUUCAACCUUGUCCCGUCGACCUAAAACUUUUUGUACAAGCUCACAUAAAUAUAGUUCGAGCCUCUACAAAAUUUCAAGUUAAGCGGAAUUACUUUAAUACCCUUUUUGAAUUAAACGAUUUUCGAAGUCACAUAAAUCCCUGAAUUUCAAACUUGCUCCAAAAUAAUUGAGAAUUUUACUGGAGGUGGAUAACACCAUCCUAAACCAACCCUCAAAAUUUCAUUGGAUUCGGACUUCAUUUGAACUUUCAAAUUAUUUGCAGAAACCACCAAACGUCUAAGUUCAAAGUUGGAAACGAAAUCAAUCAGGUGACCCCACAUGUCAUACUCUCACGUGUAACUUAUUCUCUUUCUCAGUUCUCUUCUUCUCUUCACAGCACGGUAGAAGAUAUCCAGUGCUCCCACCCCUUAGGAUGCGAGCGUGCUCAGUUUUCGAAUUUUUUGAUAUAAAUUGAGUAGCUUUGUAAGAUAUGUGUCUAUCAUGUCACAAAGUUUCAAAUCCAAAUUCAUCAUAUGCAUAGAAAAACAAAAAGGACAAAUCCAGAUGCGAGUAGGUCGCAAAAAGAUAAAAACACAAAAAGACAAAAUUUCUAACACUAUUCAUGUUUGCAUUUGUCUUUUUUUUUUCUCUCUGUGUAUAAUGAAUUUGGAGUUGAAACUUUGUGACAUGGUAGACACAUAUCAUAUGAACCCAUUCAAUUUAUUUUGAAAAUUUUGAAAACUUUUUAGAGGUGCUGCCGUGCAUUGGGAGCACGGUAACACCCUAAGGGGUGGGAGCACUGGAUAUCUUCUUCACAGCACGGCACGCACAGGAACUCAAACCGCAUCGCCACUUCCUGACAUCGCUCGCCAUAGCCCUGCACUGUGUGCCAAGGCCUGCCCAUCUACUCGCAUCACGCACUCUAGCGGACGUGUCAGCCGCGGAUCCCGCCGGAUCUAGAGAACAACGCGGCGGCGGCGCACUCCAGCUGCUCGUGAUCUUGGGAAGAACGGCACAACGGCGCACUCCGGGAAAGAAAUUGGGGCAGCCAUGGAUCCGAGGAAGAAUUGCGUGGCAGCUCGGUCCAGUGGCUCGCGACCAUUGGGAAGAACGGCACGACAGCGCACUGCGGGAAAGAAAUUGGGGCGGAAAUGGAUCCGGGGAAGAACAGCAUGUCGGCGCGUCGAUGAAGCUCCCUGCGGCAGUGGCACAGGUGGCGACGAUGCUAGACACCUCCGGCGAUAGGAGGGAGGGAACAACGCGAUGGCAGAGGGAGACUGGGAGAGAGAUGACAGUACGAUGGAAACCAGCCAAAAUAUCUGCUCCGUGAAGGACAGUGACAAACUCAAGUGGGCUGGGUAGCAACAAGUACAAUACAUCUUGCGACCGAACCGAUGUAUAAAUUUCCAUAAUUGAAAUACCGACUCGGGCGUGCGUUGAUCUCAUAGCGCGAAUGGACGGUUCGUAGGAUACCGGCACCGCUACAAUCGCCGCUUUGCUUCUGGUGCAGCUAUUUAUGUUUAUGAUUCAACUUGUAUUCUAUCAACUAUGCCUUCUCGCGAGUUUGGCCAUGCAAUGACAAUGUUGUUAUUAUAUACUGUCUUGGUGAUUUAUCCUAUUUGCCUUUUUCUCCAGAUAGAUUCGCAGAUUAUUGAGAAUGCGACAAAGUUAUAAAAAAAUGGCUGAAGUUGGAAUCUCAGUUGAAGAGCAUGAAGGACAACUCCAAGAUUUUCCAUCAUCCAUCCCAUUUUUGCCUCCCCUGGCUAGUAUUAAGCAAGGACGUUACUUGGUAAUACUUUGCAUGCAACGGUAUGGUGUGUCGAAUUUGAAACUCAUAAGCAGUUGGUUACUAUAUUUCUAGUUUUCUAUAAAAGAAUGCAGCUAAUCUGAAGGUCUACUAUGCUACUCUUCUCAUUGCUGCGUAAUGGUCUUGUGGAUUUCUUGCACCAAUUAUCCUUUUUUUAAAAGGUCCAGCAAACGUUGGCUUUCCAAUGCAUUAGCAGGCAGAGAUAAUUACAGGGUUUGCCCUAGGCCAAAGAGAAAAAAGGAGCGGAAACAAAAGAAAGAAACGAAGGUGGCCAGGGGAGACUGAGGAGGAUUUCAGGGGGGUUCCAGAGAAGUUUCCUGAGAGCCUUUGCGCCGACGAAAGCCCGGUCUUGCGCUUGAAAGUAGCGAUCUGACACAUGCCGGUGGCCUUGUCAUGGAAAACUCUUGAAUUGCGCUCGCGCCAAAUCGAGUGGCACACCAGGAUGAACAAGGACCCAAGCCCUUUGCUUAGGUUUGCACUGUAUGAUUUCAUGAGGCGGUCGUGGAAGUCCUGGAUCGACGUGGCCCCAUGGAUGGCCGUAGCAAGGGCACGACAGUUAGGCCAGAGUGCAAUCUCGCACCAGAGCAUGCUGGAGAACGAGCACUCGACGAAGAGGGGGAAGGGCGUCUCCAGGUUCCGACGACGGAGAGGACAGAAGUAGCAGUUGGGCCAGCCGCGCCGUUGCAGACGAUCCGCACACAAAAGACGGUUCUGAAACAGAAGCCAAGCGAAACAUUUGUGCUUCGGCGGCGCCCAGACGUGCUAGACGGUCUAGGGAAGCGAUGAGAGCGUGACGCCGAUAAAGUGGAGCUUGUAGGCGGAGCUAGAAGAGUAAGAGCCGUCUGCGGUCAGGGUCCAACGAAUGGCAUCCGGAGUCUCAGGCUGGAGGGAGAUCGCGUGCAGAUCACGCCAGGCAGAGAUGAACUCGUGGAGGGCGUCGGUAGGCAGGUCGCGACGCAAGUCGCGGACCCAACGAUGAUCGGUGACAGCUUGGACGAUCGAGAGAUUCUUGCAUCGGGAGAGGGCAUGCAGUUGCGGGAAAGCCAGCUGGAGCGGCCGUCCACCAAACCAGGUGGAAUACCAGAAACUGGCGGUAGAGCCGUUGCCGAUGGUGACACGGGUAGCAUCUGCGAAAGGUCGCGGUCAACCUCGUCGCAGGGAGUAGGCGUGCCGACCCAAGGCCGAUCCGACGCUCGCCACUCGAGCCAGAGCUAUAGUAGACGAAUGGCCCUACCAAAAGCAUCCAAAUUCAUGACUCCCAUCCCGCCGUGCGCAAGAGGAGAGCAAACCCUAGACCAACUAACCUUGCACUUGCCCCAAGCGAGCUCAUUAUCAUCAACACCCCAAAGGAAACGUCGGCGGAUCUUAUUGAGGGUGCUAAUGAAAUUUCGGGGAAGCUUGAGCGCGUUCAUGGCAAACACCGGGAGGGCGCUAAGCACAGAGUUGGUGAGAGCAUACGGCACCCACUGGUGCUAAUCCAUCUUCCCCGCCAACAAGCCAGGCGAGCACGGGCAUGAUCCAGGAUGUGUUGAAGGUGAGCGCUCUUGAUCCGUUUGAGGGACAUGGGGAGGCCUAGGUAGCGAAUGGGGAAAUCGACAUGUAUCCCAUGGAAAUGCAGAAGGACAUCGUCGAGGUUGGUAUCGUCGCAUCGGAUUGCGGCCACCUCACACUUGCCAGGAUUAAUGCGCAGGCCCGUGGCGAGACCGAAUUCAUGCAGCAGAUGGAGAACGAAGAGCACGUCGGUGCGCACAGGGUUAAGGAAGAUGAUGGCGUCAUCUGCGUAGAGGCCGCCGCGCGGAGCUGCUUCUUCAGGGGUAGCGGGGAGAGACCGCUGAGCUCUGUGCCGCGUUGAAAGAGGCGCUACAGCGGGUCGAUGGCGAGGAUGAAGAGAAGCAGAGAGAGCUGGUCUCCCGGGCGCAGGCCGCGACGGUGAGGGAUCGAGGCGCCGAUGGUGCCAUUGAGAAGCACCGAGGAUGAGGCGGUGGAGAGGAGGAGCGCAAUCCAGUCACGCCAUCGAGCCGGGAAGCCGAGUCGUUGGAGGAGUUCUAGAAGAUAUUCCCAAGACACGGAGUCGAAAGGUUUGGCGAAAUCGAGCUUCAUAAGCAGGGCUGGCUUUUUCCCGCGGUGGAGAGUGCACGCCGCGUUUCGAACGAAAAGGAAGUUGUCGUGGAUGCAGUGGGUCGUGAGGAAGGCGCUCUAAGAGGGAGAGAUGAGCCCCUCCAUGAAGGGGGACAGGCAGUAGGCGGGUACUUUGGAGAAGAGCUUGGCGAACGAGUGAAUAAGGCUAAUAUGGCGCAGGUCGUGGACACUGUUAAUUUGGGCUAUCUUGGGCAGCGAGAAAAUGAAGGCUGAGCUGAGAGUAGAGAAAUUUCCACUAGCGAGACAAUGGAGGUGGUUGAAAGCAGCAAGGAGGUUGAGCUUGAUAAUCUGCCAACAGGAGCGGUAGAACACGCGUUGUGAAGCCGUCUAGCCCGGGCGCGUUUCAGCAGGCGAGUCCCGGAUGGCGACCCAAAUCUCGUCCAUCGAGAAAGGGAGGUCGAUGCCGACCGGGGGAAGGGUCGGCAGGUUGAGCUCGGACCACGCAAAAGAAUGGGAGCGCGGGGAAGUCGAACCAAGAACGGCAGUGAAAUGCUGGAGCAGGGCCUGAGCUUUGUCGUCAUGCGCCACGUGCACACCGGAAUCGUUGGCAAUCUGGUGAAGGAAAUUUCUUCGGUGCCUAAAGUUUACCUUGAUGUGGAAGAAUCUGGAGUUGGCGUCGCUUUCUUUGAGCCAGACCCGGCGACGGCGGGAGCGCUCGAUCGCGGCGAGCCCAGGGAUCCUAGCUUUGAGGGCGCGGCGGAGGUGAAAUUCUAGGGCCGAGAGGAUGCAGCCUUCCUGAGCGACGUCGAGCCAUAGCACGAGUUCCAGAGCAAGGUGAAGCUGGAAGCGGGAAUCACUAAAGAUUCCUUUGCUCCUUUGACGUGAAUACGACGAAGAGGAUUGGCGGAGUCCACCUCCUGGCUCCAGGCCUCAAUCGUAGCAUCGAAGAAGCCCGGGUGAUGCGGCCAAAAAUUCUCGAAACGAAAGCGUGCUUUCCUCGGCAGCAAGCUGAAGCCGGCAAGAAGAAGAGGACAGUGAUCCGAGCGCGAGAUGGAAAGGGCGUGAACGGCAUAGGAGGAGAAGAGCGCGUCCCAAGCGGAGUUACAGAAGAAUCGAUCAAGCUUGACGAGGGUGGGGUGCUGCUGCUCGUUAGUCCAGGAGAAGUUUCGGUUGACGCAUCUCAAUUCGAAAAGCUCAGCCUGAUCAAUGUCCGCGCGGAAUUAGCCCAUGAGGCGACGACUAAGGUUGAGGUUGCUCUUGUCUCUUGCUUCGUAGAUUAGGUUGAAAUCGGCGAAAAUCAACCAGCAGGGUUCCCCAGGGCGCGGAGAGAUGACGGCCAUCUCUUGGAGGAAGGCGGGCUUGCGGGCAUCUUCGGCUGGACCGUAGACGGUGGAUAGAAGAAACGCUAGGCCGGAAACAUUGAUGGUGACGACGACCGUAAUGGAGAAAGAGAGGAUCUGGGGGUUGGAGAUGGCGACCACGUCGGGGUUCCAAAAAAGGGCCACGCCGCCCCACGUGCCGUCGGCGGGCAGGCACACGAAGGGCUGGCGGGAGGGGCCUGCAAUCUCACAGGCUAGGGAAGCGUCGAUCGCGGACAACUUUGUUUCCUGAAUGCAAGGGAUGCCGGCUUUGGCGUUGGAGGCCAACUCACAGACGGCCGCGCGGCGAGCCGCGUUAUUGAGGCCGCGGACGUUCCAGCAAACAAUCGGACAGAUGGCGUCAAUUUGGGGCGGAGCAUUGACGAAACGCGACAGAAACUAAUACUAGCACGAGUACACCCGAAUAUUACUUGUAGGUCCCUCGGGAUCCUUGGGGGACUCAAUCCCUUGCGUUGUUUUUGCCAUCGGUCUGCCCCGGUGGAUUUGUACCUUUAGUAUUCUAUCCUGGCCUCUAUGUAUGCAACCCGUAUUUCUGUCGCAACGGUCAUCUGAUCCAUCACAUUUAUGCAAAACAACUUUUUUGGUCCAGCUAACUCACGCUGCCACCGAUUUUGGCCCAGCUUCACAGGUAAACCAGAGGUCAAAUUUUGAAGCAUUAUGCAUAAUCUCCAUUCAAUUUUUUGGCACACAUGCAUCAAUUUUAAGCCGAACCAGUUCAUCAACAAAAUAUUAAUUAAACAUAAUUAGGAACUUGAAUCUGAACCAAUUUUGGAUAGAACUUGGAUCUGCGCCAAAUUUUUGUCAAUCAACAAAUUCAACAACAAUCCCCAAAAAUAAAUGUGAACAACAGAAGCAAACUGCAAAAGCUAAACUCAAACAAAAUCAAGAAAAUUUGCCGCAUGGCCACAGACAGUUAGGAGUUAAACUCAUAGAAAUCGCAUCAACAAAUCUUCCCGCAUGCCCACGGAAAAAAACCGAAACCAAAAAAAGUCUUGCAACAAUCUUGAAGCAGCAAAUCUUCAUCAGGGAAUCACGCAUGUGUGAAAACUUGCACAAAUAAACGCAGGGAAGAAAUCUUGCACAAAAAAAGAUCUUGCACCAUGGCCACGCAUGUGUGAAAACGCAGGGACCUAGCCGAGAACUCCGUGUCCAUGGCCACGAAGGGGCCGUCCGAACCUGGUCAGUUCACCGCCGGGAGCCGCUGGCGAGGGAGGAUGAGCAGGGGGAGAGGAUAGUAAAGGGGAUUUUUUGGGGAAGGUGGGGCCCAGUAUUUCGGAAUGGUCCAGCUUGCCAUCAUAAAUGGCCCAGGUCUCAUCGCAAAUGGCCCAGGUACACAUAGGAAAUGGCCCAGUAUUUACACUAUUCAGUACCGCAUCCUGGACCAAAUUUCAGAUCAUGAUGGGCCAAACGGGUGGACUGGAUAGAGUCCACCAAGGGUCCUGAGACCUGAAAAUUCAUUCAAAACAUACAUGGGGUGGAGACGAUCGACAGCCAAUAGCCCCAAACAGAUCGUUCUCCAAUAGCAAGCCGUCGAACCCUAACAUAACUACCAAAGGACCGGCAUGGGGCCGGCCGCCACCUAAACAACUAAGAUAGCAUAACAUGGGGAAACUACAAAUUAGUUCGCCGGCGAGGCGACGCUGGUGGCGGAGGCCUGAGCUGCGGCACGGUGGAGAGCGUUGCGGUCGAUCCUGGUAAGAACGGCGAGGCCGUCCACAUCAACUUCAGAGAGAGGCUCCUUGAAUCGCUGGAUCAGCGCAGCAGCGGCAGUGUCGGGGCGCUGGCGGACAGUGGAGGAGGGCUUCCCCGCCUGACGAGCGCUGCGGCGCGGGGUGAUCGCGGGCAGCUCCUUGGGCGGCCGCGGAAGCGGCGGCGGCGAGGCUCCGAGCACGCAGGAGGGAGGCACGGCGAACAGGGAGCGGAUGACCUCAUCAGUAGUCGUGUGGUCGUCGGGCGCGGGGGAGUCUGGGACGAGCAUGUCAAUGACGUCGGUGGUGGUGGCGGCGCGCCCAUCACCGACCGGCGAAGGGAGCCUGAGGGCCCAGACCGUGAUUCCCCGGCACCGCCGCCACGUCGGAGCUCGCCGGGAAAGAGAGUGGCGAGGCCACCACCUUGGCGCAGUACGAGUCGAACUUCGAGACCAUCGGGUCCGCGCCGCGCAGAGGCCCUCGAACUGCUCGGACGCCAUCAGGGAUCCUCGCUGGAGACGGACGAGGCGCUGGUCGGUGAAGCGGGGGCAGCCUCGGGCGCCGGCGGCGAGGGCGGUGACACAACCACUGCAGGCGUCGGCGCAGCCACCGCGGGAGGAGAAACCACGAACAGGCGCUGGGUAGGGGGGCCAUGAGCUAGGAGGGGCGGCGGAGGCGGCAGGAAUUCCAGAGGCUCAACCAAUAUACUACUGCCCCCUGUUUUCUUUUCCUCCCGUCUUAUUCACGAUUUCUCCUUCUCCGUCUUACAACCGACGCCACCAUGCCCGCAUGUCGAUCUCGACGGCGUCAUGAGCUGCCUACACAGAAAAAAAAUAGUUUGUGAUUUGUUGACCCGUAGCAACGCGCGGACACACCUGCUAGUAUAUGAUAAAAGUUGUACCCAUCUAAUUAAUCUCGUUCCUCUCUAUACGUACUCUCUCUUCCCUCUCAGGUCCAGCAUGCAUGUGGAAUUGAGAACGGUGCCUCUGACUCUGGAGACUGGAGAACGUCCUCAAGACUCCAACAAGUUUUGAUUUUGAUUUUGAUUUAGUAAAAGAAUAAAAAAUAUAUGAAUUGAAUUAGUUAUGAGUUUUUCAAGUUUCAACAAUCUUUGGGGUCGUCAAUAGCUGGUUCGAUUGAGUGGCCAGUGCAUUCCGCGCCUGUCUCUUCUCUGCAGGUUUGAUUGAGUAGCCAGUGCAUUCCGCAUUUCCGCGCUAGUUGCCAUGCAAACAUCUUCACUUUAGGAGGACAAUGGCACUUCCAGAGUAACGCCCAGUCAGGUCUCUCACACGAGGCACCAUCCCCCUGCUCAAUCAUCAUAAGGGGACGGAGUGAGCACCUACAACUGGAAAAGUACCGUAUGCUGAAAUUAAUUAGAAUAAAACUACUUCCUCCGUCCAAAAUAUUCCAAAACAAGUGACCGUGGAUUUUAUAUAAAAAUCUAUAUAUUCAAAUCAAAAUUACUUAUUUUGGGAGGGAGGGAGUACAUGAUUCCAAGGUAGCAUGGGUUGAUGUUGAUCUAAAAAAAAAAUCCUAGGGUGGUUGUCAGAUUCUAGUGUACAUUGUUCAAAAAUCUUGUCUGGUUUUUGCUUUCGUAUGAUUCAGUACUACUUCCGUACUAUGCAAAUACGGAUUAUAAAUCAUGAUGAUUGAACAUAACUAAUUUAGAGUCAUAGAUUUUACUAAAAAAACUUAGAACAAAGCUAACACGAUGAGUUAAAAGACUCGAGCUAAUGCAAAAACUGUUAUAAGCUCCCGUAUGAUUCAGUACUACUUCCGUACUAUGCAAAUACGGAUUAUAAAUCAUGAUGAUUGAACAUAACUAAUUUAGAGUCAUAGAUUUUACUAAAAAAACUUAGAACAAAGCUAACACGAUGAGUUAAAAGACUCGAGCUAAUGCAAAAACUGUUAUAAGCUCCCGGCGAGGAUCGAACUCACGACCUUUCGCUUACGAAGCGAACGCAAUACCACUAUGCUACGGAAGCUAUCAGUAAUAUGUUUUAAAGAAAAUUAAUUUGUAUUUUAUUUGUCAAGACCUUUUUCCCGUUCCCGUUCUUGCACUUGCAGCCAAAGGAUCAGCGGUUGCGGCAUGACAAGAUUUUUUUUAAUUGUAUUUUUAAUUGCUAACCACAUUUGCCAUGUGGUUAGUGGCAUGACAAGAUAGUUGUGAGUUUGACUAUAUAGGAGUAUAUCGCUCUGACGAUGCGUCACGCCGGUGACACGCAGUAGUAGCAGUCUAGCAGAGCACCCGACUGAAACGUGCCCGACAGUAGAGCACCGGCCGACCAAAUCCAGAUGAGUUUUCAUGCAGUUAUUAAAAAGGUACCACAUGGGGCACAUGGCAGCUUCCAGAUCCAACAAAGUCCAAAAUCAGUUAAACAAAAGGCAAGCAUACACAUACACAGAUUAGAACUUGGCGAGCACAUCGCAGAUUCUCCCGAUAGCUGCAGCCAGAAUGAGUAUAGGGAGAAAGGGAACGGACAUGUUUCCAACUCUCCAUCUUGCUGAAACCUCGGGUACUUCGGAGUCUUUUCAGAAGAAUACAAGAUACAGCUGUGCAUCGCAGGUAAACGAAUUACAGGUUCUAAAAGGAUUAACAGAAGAACUGUAAUAGUCUACUCUAUGUUUGCCAAAUAGUAAAAAAGGACCGGAAUGCUGUAGCCUGCUGACAUCGGCAGCUAUUGAAGACAGACAAAGGAUAAUAACUGAUAAAUGGAAUGUUUUGUACAACAGAAUUUCAGACUAGUCUCGCUAGAAACAAAUCAGAAACUUCCCCGACAGAAUGCCAGGGCAAAUCCACAAGCGCAAUCAAAAGAACAGAUACGGGCGCGGGGUAAACACAAACAAGCAAAUCUUUUGAGUAAUUACUAUUUUUGCUUCAGAAAUGAACAGUUUAACACCAUCUAUUGAGAUCUGAGACUUCAAACAAACAGCCACGGGUACUUUUGUAGGUACAGACAUAACAGAGUGAAAUAACAAUGGAUGACCAAGCGCCCAACCCUAUAAACUUGACUAGAACUUCCCCACUCCGAUCCAGGAAGGCGACAGUGACAUGAGCCAGACUAAAGCUACGAUUCAUUGUCCAUCCUAACAGCAACCUGAAAGAAAGGGAGGGACUAUGCUAAACUAAAGGCAACCAUCCAUCAGAGACACUAGCCAGGAACAGCAACAGCAAAGCUCCAGAGGUUUCCAUCCAGUACUGUGGCAGCUUGGUGAAAUCCGAUCCGCAUCACUCGUCAGCCUGCAUACAGGAUGUUUCAGACAUUCUCGUCAGUGAGGUGAGGUUGACUGAAAUUGUCGGAAAGGGAUUAUGGGGUGGGUGUCUCUAUCUCACCUCGCUCCCGUCAGCCUCGUCGUUAACCUCGGACUUGGACUUGUCCGAGUCACCAGACGCUUCCUGGCCUCCUGCCUGCAAGGGUAAAAGCACAAACCGCACAUAUGAGAACAAUGUGAUCAUCUCGAUUCUGACGACGGUGUUCGAUGAGGAGCUGAGAGCGCGCAUCGGUACCUGAGGGUUGUUGUAGGCGACCAUCUUCUUGUUGUACUCAGCCUUGAGCUUCUCGGCCUUGGCAACAAAAGGAGCUUUCUCCUGCGUUACAAACGAGAUAUGUUAGUCGGGCGAAGCUAGCACAAGGCAAUGGAAACACUGAACUGAACAGCUGUGAAAAGACGAGCAAAAGGGAAACGAAUUGUGCGGAACGGUAUCGAAAAUUUGAACGGGCGAACAAGAUGUUGCAAGUACUAAAAGUUUAUCACCAAUUAGAAUCGAAAAGGAGAUGGGUAAAUUUUAAACGAAAUGACACAUUUUAACAAAUUCACCAUAAAUUUGAACCACACGACCAGAACUACACAUCCAGUGGAUCCCCAAUUUGAACCUAACCCUCCUGGAACAAGUAAACCCGAGAUAUGAACGACAAAAAACGUAAACUGAACAAAAUUACAAAAUUACAAGUGACAUCAAAUCAGCAGACAAUGGAAUCAGAUCGAAAUCGCAUGACAUCAAAUGAGAAAACAAUGAAACCAGACCGAAAGAGCCAGCGGACCCUGCAGUUUGAGGAAACAACUUACAGCAUCGGACAGGGACUUCCACUCCGCACCACCGGCUUUACCAACCUGCGUCCCACCAAAACCAGCCGGUAUCAGAACGUAGAAUUUAAAUCGUCACAACGGUUCGAACGAGGGGAUGAACUCAGGCGGAGAAAACGAUCCUUACCACGGAGACUUGCUUGACGUCAGGGUGCUUCUCCUUGUAGUCCUUCCUGAACCCCUCCCUGCGGAAACGAAUGCAUAGCAAAAAUGUCGAUCAGAACGCGACACCACAGAGUGACAAACAACACGAAAACCAGAACGGAUCUGAGCUUACAUGAAGACGAAGAACGCGCUCGGGGGCCUCUUUGGCUGGUUCGGGUCCUUCUCGGCCUUUGUCUUCCUCACCGAGAGCCUAUGCCACCAACAAGUGCAAGACACCAAGAGCAAAUCGAAUCAAAACCGACGCGAAAUAGAGGCGAAACACUCGAACAGAACCACGGAAAUCGAACAGGUAGAGGGGAGAUCUGAUCAAUCAGACACUAACCUGGAGUCGCCGCCGCUGGACCUCACCCUCGCCUUCAUCUCGCAGCCUGCAACACCAAACCAACCCAGAUCUAAACCAUCAGAAACAGCACAACCGAAAUCACAACAGCAUGAAAUCGGAUGUUCUAAGAAACAGAUAUAGAUUGAUCUCGAACUCACGGUACCUUCGGAUCGGAGCGCGUUAGUGCUAGGUUGGGGAGAUGGGUGCUGCGUGCUUUCGACUACGAUGCGAUUUGGAGGGCUGGAGGACAGGAGGAGGGAGGCGAUUGGGGGCGGGCUUUAAAGGCGGGUGAGAGGCGGGAGUUUGCGCGGGGUUCCCCGAAAAAUUUCGCCACGUCAACGAUCCGCGCGCUCUUCUCUCAUUGGCCGUGCGGGCGAACUGCAGUCGGCUAGAGCUUCCGCUACACUGUUUGCGCUUACCCGCGGGGCUCCUGUCCAGCUGUCAGUCUUAUGGCCCACCUGUCAUUGGAGUUUGUAGGUUCUUUACGGAGUAUUUACGGUGUGUUUUCUCUGCCUGUGCUUCUCGGAUGGGGGGCAGUCUGGGCAGUUUCGAAGAGUUUACGGACGUGGUAGAAGUUUCCUGGCGCACGACUCAUUGAACCCGCAUUUAUUUAUUUCUCGACAGAACAAGGCCGUAUCUUUUGGUAUUCCUCGAUCGAGUGAUCGAGUCGGAUAUUGUACUAGGGAGUAUAUCGGAGUUAUUUUUAGAGGCUUACUCAUCCCGUUACUUAAAGAACGGCAUAUUAGUUUUCAUUAAGACAAGUCUUUGAACACAAAUUAUUAUGUUAAAGUGUUGUUUAUAUGACAUGAAGUACUUUCGAUAACGAAUUUAGCGAUACUAAUUUCAUGUCAUAUAAACCACACCUUGCCAUAGUAAUUUGUGAUCAAAUCCUUGUCUUAAUGAAAGCUAAUAUGCCAAUUUUUAAGGAACGGAGUGAGUACAAUGAAAAUACUCGUCACGUUGUCCGUAAAAUGUCCCAUGUAUCCUGCACAAACAUUGUUUUUGAUCUAUUUUACUCGUGCGAGAACAUAUGCUAUAUGAUCGACUCUCGUUCUUCUGCAAGGUGGUGUUUAGUACUACCUCCGUUCCAUAAUAUGAGACACGCAUGCAUCGCUAAAUUCUCAAUUUGAUUAAUUAAAUAUGUAUGUUUUUAACAAAAAUUACAUCAUUAGACUCGUUAUCGAAAAAAUUUCUAAUAAUAUAAUUUUUUAGUUUUUUAAUUAAUAUUUAGUUAGCUAAAUUGACGAUGUAGGAAAAUGCGAGCGUGCCUCCUUCCGUCCCAAAUUGACUGACGUAUUUUUAUACAAAUCCACGUCAGUUAAUUCGGGACGGAGUGAGUACAUUAGAAUGCCGGAACUUAGAGGAUGCUCUACGAUGCCAUUAAUUGUCUCUAUUUAAACACUGACGUAUAAAGUAAGUAGUAUCUUAUACUGUAAGUUAGUGUUUGGUGCAGAGCAAAUAGUCCAUACAUUUUCCUAAGGAAGUAUUGUAUUCUCUUUUGAGGAAUCAAAUAGAUUCAUGUAUUAUAGGAACUAAACAUGAGAAUGCAUGAUGCUCAAAUGUGGAACUAUUUUAUUACAUUUCACCAUUUUUUUAGCAGCCAAAAAGUACUACCUAAACAUCAAACGUGGUGCACCCGAUACAAACGAUAACAGUCUUGGUCCCUAUGAUGUGUUGUUGUGAUCUCUCGACCAUGACUUGGAUAUAGGUCUAUCGUGACAGUCCUCGUUGGCCUACAUUUCCUACUCCGUCAUCGAUGAUGCAUGUUUGUAUCGGGUGGAUUACACACAAUAUUAGAUUUCCCUUUAAGCAAUUCAUUACAAGCAAUUCUAGAAACUCAAGUCUUCAUGUGGUUGAUUCAUAAGAGAAGUUCUGACAAGCCACAAAUAAAUAUGUGGAAAUUUAUGAUUUUCGGUUGAAAACUCACCAAUAUAGCGAGAACCUUCCAUUUUUCUGGUUCAAGGCAUCAUAAACAUGGUGGCUGAGAUACUAUCAAAAAGGUCGAAACGUACUUGCUUUUCUAUUUCCAUACACAAGCUCUUCUUUCACGGUUAAGGCUUCAUUGACAUUGGUACUAGCCUAAGAUGAUGAUCAUGUCGUUUUUGGGUUUUAUAGCGUGGCAAUUGCAUGUGGAUGUAGUCAUAAUGGUUUCGUGUACCGGUGAUUCCACUUUAAUCGGCGUAAUGCUUACAGCUAUGAUGCGGUACAAUACGGCGCCCACUCAUUUAUAUAUUUUAAGCAACGGCCUCCUGACUUGCUUCCACAUACCCCGGAAUUCGGUCGAAACCGCUUCCUUUUUCCUUAUCUGCAUGCAUAACAAGACAGGGCAAUCAAUGUUCUCCAAACACUAUAUUCAUUCAAAAAAUUGGAACGAUUUAUCUCUUCAAUGGUGGAUUUGGUCCUCUAUUUGUCUUCACCGUUAACGAUGUGUCGAACUAUUAAGCACCCAAUUGUAUCUCUAUAUGAGGAUUCAUUGAAUCUCCUAGGGGGGCAACCAUGUCUAGGAGGUUUUUUAUACGGAGUAUAAGAACAUUACUCUACCCAUGGUGGAAUCGACGCUAUCUUUGUGCGUCCUCCUUAUGCGAGGCAGUAUAUCUCAAUUUGCUCAGAGAAGGAAGCUCCAACGCUCUCUGCAACUAUUCCGGAGUUGGUGCUGGCGCGCUCGAGCCAUCUUGCAGAGCGAGCUAAUGUCCUGGUCCCGGUGGCAGCUAUCGGGAUGCAACAGAGCUGUGCGGCCGAAGCAAGAAGGACGAUGGCCUUAAGGAUUUGGUUUGUAAUUUUAUACUCUAUCCUUAUUAUGAGGUGUUGAUGCAAGGUGCUCUCUCUCUGUAUUGUAUUCUUUCCUAUGCUAUGAUGAAUGAACAGUUUUUAUAAUUCGGGUGCAAAAUAGACACAUAAUUACUGAGAGCGGGUUUUUUGCUCCGGGUGGCAAUCACACCCGAAAUCUGAGCCGCCCACCUUGUUUUUGGGAUCUGUGCCCCUGAUUUUCGGUUUUCAAAAUACAUUUGCAAUACAUGGCAGUGGUGUACGUGGGGACCACGCACGUGGAUUCCAACCCCCCUUUCUUCUUUCUUCUGUCUGCCCUCUCCACAGCAAUGUCGCCUCCCUCUCCCCCCCCUUCUCUCUCUCACCCAACAGCCCAUGGCGGUCGGAACAGGGACCUCGACCGAUGCGGGACGGCGGCGUAGCCGGAGAUGGAGGCGGCCAUGGGCGUGUCCAGUUCAACAUCAAACGCGCCCUGGCUGGGUAUUCUCUCCCCCCCCCCCCCGGCCCCCGGCCAUCAUGUUCGAGCAAGAACUCAAGGGCGGCGGGACGAGGCAAUAAAUGAAGCUGCAAAUCGUCGGAGGAGGGGGAGGGCCGCCGGAGUUCAGAGCUCGGCCACGGUGUGGCCAUGAUCCGUUGCCGCAGUUCGGAGCUCGUCCACGGUGUGGCCACGGUCAGCAGGACGCGGACGCGUGGUGCUGCCGGCCCCUGCACGGGCACGAAAAAGCCGCCGGGGUACUGCCACCCCCACGCCCGAGCACAACUGCACCACGCCGCCACCGCCAGCCAGCACCCCCCCCCCUCUCUCUUAUGGCGGAGCUCGUCCAUGGCGCCGCCGACAUCUUCACCGAGUUCAUCUUCACGGGGUCCGGCUCCAACAACCUCCAACUGCAGCGUCUUCCCCAACUCCGGCAUCCAGCCGCUAGAAUCUCGAGAACGGUGGCUCGUUCUGGAGCCGGCCGAACCCCGACAACAUCCAUGGCGCAGGAGGAGCAGGCGGACGGGUUCUUCUAGUCGAAAUGGACAAGGUCGGAGUGGACAAGGGCAGAGCUGGCAGCGAACGAGAGCAGCAAUUGGCGGUCGCCACUGUCGGACGGGAGCAGGGGAGAGAAAAGUGAGAGAGAAAGGCGGAGGAGGAAGAUAGCGUGGGGGGAUGUGGGGGCAGAGAAACGCACAUGGUGGGCCCAGCACUGUUGAAGAAUACCAAAUUAAAAUGGGCAUACGGAUCCAAAUACAUGUAGGAGGAAGAUAGCGUUUACGAAUCUCAAUGUGCUUUGUAAGGUGCAGAUUCAGGGUGCGAUCGCACCCAGGUGCAAGAGGACAUUUCCCCAUAAUUACUGGCAUAUCGAAUAAUCAGCACAGCAGGUAGCACAAGUUCUUGUCAGGUAAUGUGAAUCACAUCUGAAAAAGUCAAACUGAAGCACAAGUUUAGGUAGAGCUUACCAUCUCAAGCAGAAAUUGAUAUUCAUGAGGCAAUUCAUUACUGUGGUUACAUCUGCCACUAACAAUUUCCAAGAGCAAAAUAGCGAAACUAUAAAUAUUUGACUUCUUUGUCACUUGUCCUCUGACUGCAUAUUCAGGGAGGAGCCUGGUAUCCUCUGAUAGAAGAAACGAAGGCAUUGAGAGAUGGGAAUGAACUAUGUUCCAUGUCCCAAACAAACUCAUAUACAAGGCUAUAUACUUAGAUUGUUCCUGCAACACGGGUGCUCACAUAGUCACAUGAGUUGCAUUUGGAGGAAGGAGCCUUGCUAACCAAAAAUCAUUCUAGAGGUGGGAUCCUUGUCGAAAAGAAUAUUGCUUCCCUUUAUGUCCCGCUGAAUUAUAGGAGGACGGAUUUCCUCAGGAAGAAAUGCAAGCGCUGAAGCCCAUGGGCAACAUCUAGAGCAAUUUUAACAAGAACUCUCCAACUGACGGCGCGGCGGGGGAUGGCUCGCGACGGGGGACGGCUCGCGACGGGGGAGGCUUCGCGAGCAGCGGCAGACGGCAGUGACCCACGCUUCGCGGGCAGCGGACGAUGGCGCCAUGGCGGCCUCUCAAGCGCACGGCACGGUGACUUUGCUCGGGGGCAUCCUAUUCUAAAUUUUUUCUUCCACCGAAAUUCAGGCCGAGCGUGUGGAGGAGUUCAACAUCUUCCUGUCAUGCUCUCAGCGGGUGCCGUGCUUAUGAUCUCCGGCCUUUUAUUCCACCGAAAUUCGCUGCCCAAAUGGUUCCAGAUAGUGUGCUGGCAGGCUGCGACCGUCUCCUUUUUUGCGGCCUGGCUCGCCGUCUGGGAUCACAUAAGACUUCGGCUCAGCCAAACUCCCUCUUCGAAAAGACCCAAACUGAAAACACAAAAGUUUACCUUUGUUUUUCCACAGUUCUUUUUCUUUUCUUUUCUUUUCUUUUGACAGCACAAAAGUGUACCUUCCACUUUCAACUAGUACUCCAACUCUUGUAGCUUCCCUCAAAAAAGUAUUAACUCUUGUAGCUUUCGGUUUUUUAAUAUCAAAACUGUUGAAGUUGUUGUGAUUUCAACCUCGACGUAUCCGCCACGGCCAUCAUUGAGCUCGCCUCUUCGCUGCUACUGGUACUACCUAGUGAGGCGGCAAAGCAGGCCAUGGAGGCGGUGAGUGAUGAUGCUGCCUGCAACUCAGUUUUGAGCAUUCAUCAGGGGUCAUACACAUCAAAACUAUCAAUCUCCAUUGAGAAAAAGGGAGGAUAUCCAUCCUUAAUAGAUAGGAAAAAAAAUUGUGUACGUAUCAUUUUUUUUACAAGAACACCAAUAAGAAUUGAAUUGAGCAUCUUUGCACUGGCAGAAUGCAAGCGUUACAAGUUUAGUUCCCCUUCCUAAGAUUUACAGCUCCAACACACACGACACAAGGCAAAUUAGCCAUUGUCCUGUAGCUGUCUUUUUUAUUUAUUUACAUCAUGCAUCUGACUCCCGUCAAAAUUCUCAUCUCACUCCAACUCGGCUAGCCCUCAGUGAGUUAGCAUCUCCUUUUGGCAUGCGAUGUGUCGGUGCUACUGCUACGGAACAGGCCUUCCCAGUGCUUCAGAGUUCAGAGCAAAGAGCAGGAGCCAAAUUCCAUCCUAUGAAUCCUCCAAGUUAUGCACCUCUUCUGGUCUUGUGGGUUUGUUCGUGCUAGGUAACCUAAGCUGCUCACAUAAGGCCCCAAAAAAUAUAAGUUGGAAAUUGUAUCUAUGAGUACGAUUAUUCGGCUACCAAUGAACCAACUUCAGGGAGUUGAUAACUUUUUGUACUACACAGAAGCAAGAUGAAAACUAUGCUGAACAUGACUACAUUUGGAAUACUGGGGAAAAUGAGUAUAAGCAAAAUGCAAUAGACACGGCAACUAGUGAGUGACCUUAGACCUCCUCGUGUUCAGUGGCACAGGAUCCUUCUUCAGUGGUUUAUAUGCAAAAGUCUCCAGAUCGAUCACCGGUGGGGGUGGCAUGGGGUUACCAGCACCUUUCUGAUUACUUGUAACCUUGACAUGAAAAUGGAUAACAUAUUAAUUUGUUAGUUUUCUAUAUAUACUUCAUUAGCCUAGGAUGUCAGUGAUAUAGGCAUAUGACUGAGGGAUACAGGUCUGGAAAGGGAAGCUACAUACCUGUUCAUUCGAUGAUUCAUGCUUGAUAUCCAAACGAUCAGCGAACAAGAGCACCUUCGUUUGAAGAGGACAGUUAGAUUGAUGUGGGAAUAGUACUAAAUCACAAGAUGCAUCAAAAUGUGCAAAUUACCCUGUCCAAUGAAUGUAGAUUUGAAGCAUCGGUUGCAAGAACUCGCACUCCGAGUGGCAUGGCACAAGCAUUUUCACAAGGGCAGAAAGGGCAUGUUACUGGCUUGUACACACAUCCAUCCUUCUCAGACCAAACGCCAGAAUGGUGAGCAGAACCUUGGCCACGGAAUUUGGUAAGGGUCUCUUGGUUGAGUGAGGAUGCGUCACACACAAUAACAUUUACCAUAGCUGGUGGCGAUGCCAUAAGAUCAUCUUGUGCGAAGCCAACACUUGAUAGUCCAUGUCUCAAAAGAUAUGUCAAGUAAAAAUUCGAGGGUGAUGACAAUGAGCAUGAAACAAGAAAGCCAUCCUUCUGUAAUCCGAGUGGUGUUUUACAUCUGCUGCAAUAAAUAAGAAGCUUGUUCCGUGCGGAUUCUUUUGGUGAAAACUCAACUGGCUUGUGGCAUCUUUCAAGCUUAAAAUUUUCACAUCUGGACAUGUUCAUACUUUUACAACAUAGGCCACCAGUUCUCUUCAGAUCUUCAGGCACUGUGAUGCCAGCACAAUCAGAAUCGCCGAAAGAUUUCGUUGAAGGAUUGGAAUGCUCUGUGUCCAUGCAAUAGCUUAUUGGAGGGCUGAACCUUCUCUUUUUCUGGUACUGUGAGUUUACGCUUCUGUUCACUGAAGAAUAUUCAUGCUCCAAAGGAUAAUCUCUAUUAGAAGUUCUUUCAGGAGUACCCACUGAUGUGGACACACAAGAAUGGUUUCUGUUUGCUGUUGUUAGCGAAGUGGACACAUUUACAUUUACAGCCUGAUCUUCAUCAUUGUUCAUCACUGCUGAGAUAUUUACCUCAGAAUGAUUGCUGGGACUAGCAACAGGAGCCUCUGUAAAAGUUUCUUCCACAAGAGCAGGCUGUUGCAACCUGUGUUCUGAUGGAUUAAAGAUAGUUAAUGUUGAGCACCUGCAAACAAUAGCAAGGCUAAAUAAAAUGGAAACUGAAUUACAUUAGAAUACUCAAGAACAAACAUGCCUGAAUGCAGAUAGAUUACCAAGACUUAGAAUCAAACUUCUCCAAGUCAAUAACAUCUGUAUUGACUUCAUAAUCCCCCCCAAUGUCUGCUUCACCUUCCAAGUUAUACUGAAUUUUGUAAGAGGGAGGGAGUUGGCAUGCUGUUGAAAGACUUCUGGGUAUGGGAGAGCUUAACUUCUUUGCUAGAUCAGAAGAUUUAGAAGAGAUCUCCCAUGCUUCUGAUGAUGGUGACGCAUAAGACAUACCAAUUUUAUUAUGGUAUACUCCUGCCAAACCAUCUAUUUUUGGAACCUUCAAACUUCCACGUUCAGUCUUUACCUUCUGAUUACUUUGCAGUAUUGAUUGGUUUAAGAAAUUUGGUUCUGGCCAAGGCAGUUUUCUUUUAUCGUCGUGCUUUGGAAGUAUAUCAGCCUCCAACUUGACAUUAGGGGACAUCUCUCGACCUCUUAUCUUUAUAUGCUCCUGAAGAGACCAUCAUUUAUAUCAGAUAGUCCAUCCACAUUCAGAAAAUCAAAUGCAUAAUAAUAUCAGUACCUCAGCCUUUUGAAAAAACUUCUCCAAUCCAUCCAUCGUAUCCUGGAAGCUACCAUAAUGCUUAAUCGAGUUCUUAAGCCAUUUUGAAAUGUGUACAAGGUUUCUCUCUUCCUGAUACCGCUCAUCUGUACAAAUAACAUAGUGGUUAUAAGUAAUCCUAUAUCAAGAACAGCUUAUUGCAUCCAUUAGAAUACACAUCACACAAAUAUGAAAACUACAAGGACCAACUUUCUGGCUAAUCAUACCAAUCAAAAUUAUGCCUCCGUAGUCAAGCUUAUGCCGAAUACAUCGACCUAGAAAACGACAAUAGUAAUUAGCCAUUUUCAACCUUAAUCACAACAAAUGAUCUACAAGUAAAUCAACAGCUAAAGUAUCAUACCAGCAGCUUGAUUCAGAGCACGAAAUGCUUGAUGACAGUACCAGUCACUCCCACUUAACAGAUGCUUUGAUGAUUUGUAGGAAUCAUUAUAUCUUUUUUUCAGCUUUACUUGGACAUCAUUUCUGAUUCAUGAAUAAAACAUCAGAAUAAACAUGGCAAAAGAAAUUGGACUUAUGUCUAGAAGAAAAAGGGUACUUACAUAUUUGGAAAUGGAAUGCCAACAAUGACCUUAAAUCUUGGUCAAGGAAACUGAUGCGUAUCAAAAUCAUUAACUCUCAUGUUCUAAUAGAAUAGGUGUAGAUGUGUAGUGAAUAAACACUAAUACCAAUCAUGCUACAGGUUACUAGGGCAAAAGUUUGGCAAUAAAUUGUCUAUGUCAUAACAGCAUGCAAUGAUAAGGAGAAAAGUAAGGAUACAACAACUCUAGCGUUGUCAUCAGAGAAGUCAAUUCCUUCAGAUACCUGAAACAAAAAAUCAGCAACUGCAAAGCAUAAGCUAAUGACAGCUAGUAUAUGCACACAACACCAGAAUAAAUGUAUAGAAUUAGCACCUUCCCACGACAAACUGCAAGAAAAGCAGCUCCUCCUUUAGCAGAUUCCUGUGAUGAAUUCUUUCUCACUCGAUUCUUCACGAUUUGUUUUGCACCACCUCUGCCUUUCUUGAGGGGAGCCUUGCCAAGGAUUGCAUCAUAGUAUCCUUUCAGGAUGGGCUCAAGUUCCUCGGUACUUCCUCUGGGCUCUGAGACAAAAAAUAUCUUAAAUAAGAAACCUGCAGGAAAUUGAAAAUUUAAACAGUGGGCCUUUUAGAAUUCCGAAGCAAUGAUAAACUUACCAACAAACACGGGCUUAUUAGCAUGCAAUCGUGCCCAUUGGCCUGUCUGAGCCCAACGAACUUUCAUUUUAUCCAGCAACUUAUAGCUAGGAAAAAACACUAGAGCGCCACCUGGAACUAUUCUGCAUAUUUCUUCUAUUGAAGCUCCAAGCUCGUCCUAUAAAAAUGAGAACAUUUUAUUUUUGGAGAAAAUUAUUUAUGUCAGAAUAUGACAACAAAAUAAUGACAAGUUACCUGGAAAGAAUACACAUCUGCAGUUUUAUAGCUGGCAUUCAACGGAUAUUUUGUUGGCCCAGAUGAUAUUACACUUGCAAAAACCUGCAUCAGAGUGCCACAUAGGCUGAGAAAAACUGCAAACAAAGUGGUUAUUUGGCAUAAUUUGGUGAUAUUUCUAUGCAUGCAAGCUCCAUAUCAUAUCCAGGUCAUAAUUUAAUUAAGGUCAGAGGCUUAGAGCUCAUCAGGCCAAAGCUUUUGUAUGCUGUCUGGAUGGAUAGCAGGGCAGCUGUAUUUCAAGUAGUGAGAAAUGAAAAUCAGUUCAAAAACUUUAUAUACACUAUAGGAUUAACAAAAAGCUGGACACCUGACAGGACUAGCUUAACUAGAAUUCAAAUAGGUUGGAUAAGAGGCUGAGGAAUGCACAGUAAGUUCAAGCCAUAUCAGUUAACUAAAAAAAGUGCUUAGCUUUCAAAUAGUUUGAAUCGGUCAACUCUUUUUAAUCACAUAUUGUCUUGCCAUUUAUCAGUAUGCACACUUUUUAAGGAUUACCAAUAUGUAUCAAAGUAAAACAAUCCAUUGCCAGUCUCUAUCAGACAAAGCUUGGGAAUCUAUGGUAACAAUUUGAACUAGAAUUUUCUGUUCUACUAUUACGACCGAAAAUCUAUUUGCAGGAAAAGGGAACCACAUUCCACAUUUUUAUCAGCUUACGUUAUGUGGAACAAAAUUAGUCUUAAAGUAGGGAUAGGAGAGACUAGAAAUGGUUACACUUUACUCAACUUCAUACCCAAUAGUUGGUAAAAAUCCAUCACCAUUUGGCUAUGCAGUACUUUUUAGCACAGCCGACUUGCAAAACACACACCUGAGAAUCAGCAUCAAUUACGUGAGGAGCUUCCAUGCAAGCGUCAAACUGGACACCGAGUUCAGAUGCAAAGGAGCCCAUUGGAGAGAGUGUGCUGCAGAGAUACAAAGUUAAGAGAGAACUGUAUAUUAUCUGUUAAUCUGUUAUUCUAGAGAAACUUUGAUGGGCUAUUUUAGAAAACUUCAGAAGUGGAUAACCUAAUUAUUUUAGCUUGGAACAAUUAUGCGACAGUUGGUCAUGUGCCUACAAGGUGAUGAAAACCCUGUUAAAUAGAGCAUGUCUAUAAGGCUGAAAACCCUGUCCUCAGCGAAAUUCCAGUUGGCACAAAUCUAAAAUAUAUUCACUAUUUCCAUGAAGUCACUCUUCUACAUAUACUUAGUUUCUCUUCUAUGUUCUUUUUUUUUUCAAAUUAAUACAUUCCAUCUUAUCAGAUGUCAUAUGUGGAUCAUCAAAGCGAUAUGCUGUUACAGUAAAUAAAACCACUUUCCUAAAAUUUCGAGGGGAAGUAUGAACUUGGAAACUUACCCAGAUGUCAAAAUUACUGAAAGGGUUAGAUCUGAAAUGCCUUGAAAAACAACAGCAGGACUGAGGCACCACAAACUCAUCACAGAUCUCGAUCCUAUGACAGAACUGCCUGCAAAUGGUGUGAUUCAAAAGUUAUGCAAUCAAACUACAUGUUACAUGUUGGAAAAAGGGAAAAGGAUUGGAUCAGACUAUCCAGUAUCCACGACUUUAUAGUUAAUCAAGCAACCGGAUUCGUAAUUUGAAGAACAUCUUAAUCUUAUGUAUACUGUGCAAGAGCCAAUUGACUUCAAUGACAUCAAGAAAACGUUUUAGGGAGUAAGCAUUACUACCUUCUCUUUGAACAAAAUGCUGGAAAGCAAGUUGGUAAUCAUAAAAAUGGCACCCAUUCCCAGCAAAAAAAUGGCUCAAUGAGGAGAAUAGACCUGCAAAAAUUGUGCAGUGUCAUUAGGUUAUUACAUAUGCUGGGGAUUAAAGGGGAAAAUGUGUGGCUUACUGUCCAGUGUCAUAACACCACGACCAGUUAAGUAUUCUCCAUCUGACUCGGUAUCCGAAGCAGCCUUAACUGCCUAAUACAAGAAGGUGAUAGAAUCAAGGUCUAAGUGGAUAAUUUUGUCAGUCACAGGCCAAAGAAGAGAAAGAUUACAGACAAACUGUUACACAGCUACAUUAACUAGGUGAUAUACUCUAGCGUAACUGCCUAGUAAAACUUGAAGAAAGAAGCACCUUCGUCGCACACUCUUGCAAUAUUGGGAAGUAUGCAGGAGUAAUACCGGCCUUCUGGAGUUCCUUCAUAGCAUUUUCACCAGUCCAACUGAGGAUUACAAAAGGUUAAAUAAACUGAAUGCAAGACAAAUGUUUAUUCUCAUGCUUUGUUGCAAGCAUGUAGUUAUUCUGGUGAAUUUUACAACUGGAAGUUCAACAUGGAACUCAAUCUUAUUAUGGAUCGGAGGGAAUAAUAUAUUUAAAAAUACUCGCACAAGGUAGCAGGUCAAUGCACUGAAAAUAAAUAGAAAUAGACAUGUACUGCACAAUUUUAUGCAACCUUACGUUAUAUAUUUCAUAAGAGAUUCUGUGGUCCUUGAAAACAUUCUACACAGUCUAAUGACAGGCAACAAAUGUCUGAGAUGCAGUAGUACGUAAUGUUAUUCCACGUGCACAUGAAGUACGUAUUAUUUGUACUAACACUGAAACAUGGUACACAAAUUUCAGAGUAUGGGUAGCUUACUGGUGCAUAUUUAUUCCUAAAUGACUGAAACAUGAUAUACAGAAAUCCUAAAUGACACUGCUUGGCGUGUUCGAGAAAAAAAAGUUUGGUUUGAACAUGGAGAUGGAGAGGAGAAAGAUUAUAACAAUGACAGUGGGAUUAUUUGCAACUUAUUCAAUUUGGGGAUGCUAAAGCUGGGGCCGAUUCAGAGAAAAUAAAAAGAAUCACGAUGCCAAUCUCCCCCCUAAUAAAUUGUGGUACCAGUACCUCAUGAUACUUCUCCCCAUAAAACCGCUCAUAUUUCAAUGAGCUAUGCAGAUCUUUCAGGGGUACGAAGAUGAGAUGGCAAAAACUAGGUAGAUAAAGAUAAAAACAGGUAAGAAACAAUACAGGAUUCCAUAGUACAUACAAUGAAGCAGGAUGUUCAAACUCGUUAUCUCGUAGAUUGCCCACCUGAUCAGUAAUCCAAUUGAUAAGCCCCUGCAUAAUUACUAACAGCUUAAUCCCUGAGACCAAUAUUGCUACCAAAUGUGUAUUCUUCCCUUAUUAAGGAGGAACAGUAGGAUUACAAACUCUUCUCAUUAAAGUACCUCAAUGACCUCAUGCAAGGGUUGGUAUAUCUUUGCAACAGCCUCGUUAGUGGCCAAGUUUGCUAGUUCUCCCGCCAAAGCUUGACCACAGAAAUAAAUAAAUUUAGCUCAGCACAAUUUAACAGAACAAUGCGUUAAGCUCUAAUGGAACAGUGACGAUUGCCUUACUGGUAAGUGAUUCUUCAUCAACAUCAACACUUCCAGCAUCACGUGCUAUAUCUUCUAUGUUGCUGCAAGACAAGUAUUUGAAUAAACACAGGCUGGAAUUCACCGCUUUGUUACUACAACUGCUCUAAAGAGAAAAUAUCAGAUUUGAUAAUUGGUUGAAAAGGUACCACAAGAAACUAGUUUAACAAAGGAAACCAUGGAAGUACAUCAAUCAUGUCAAGAAGGAAAUGAUUGACUGAAAAAGAAACACAAGUCUGGACUUACUGUGCUUCAUCAAGAAUAACAAUUGAGCCACUGAUAUCAAUGUCCAUUGCUCUUCUGACAAUUGGACUAAUUAGGUAGUUGUAUGGACAGAAAACCAGUUGAGCUGUUUCUGCCAUGGUUUGUGCAGCAAAAUAUGGACACCCUGCAGAUAGCAAAAAAGGGGGUAGUUGAACAGAUGUCAAACAUUCAGCGGUGACAUCAUGCACUCCUCAGGAUUCAGAAUUAAAUCCUUUUAACCAAAGAGAUGAACAGACCCUUGACUUGUCGUCCAACUCUAAGAAGAUCCUCAAUAUCGUGAACUUCGUAGCAGCCACCCUUCUGAAGGGAUGGAUGACGACUUAGUUUCUGUGCAUUCCUGCCAAUACAGUUUUCUCAUUGCGUUACUGUCUGUGUGGGGAAGGGGGCGGAGAGGUUCUCCAGGUUAAAUACGUUUUGCCAUGAAAGAAACUAGAAAAUCUCACUUGAAUUCUGGGCAUCCUUGAACCUUGUCAUCCAAGAGCAACUUGCUGAUGAAGGAUAGCACGAUUCAUUAAAUGAUUAGAAAAUGAAUAAUGCAAAAGAUUGGAAAAGUAAUGUCUCUUAUAUGUUACCAUUGCUCAUCAAUGUUGUCACUCAUGCAUACAUUCUUAUUGACACAAUAGUGCUUCCUCGAAGCCUGCAUUGCAUGAUUACUGUACUUGUCAAACAAAAUGCAGUUUAACUUCAGAAUGUGAGAACAAGUUGACCCUAGGAGUGGAACUACAACAACAACCAGUGAUGCAUGAUGAUUGAAUAGCUGUCUUGGCGUCAUUUGUGCCACUGCUACUUAACUUUGGUUGGAUAAUGUAGUUCUUUUAAAGAUGGCAAGAAGUAUACUGAGAUGGAAACACUAGUUACCAAGACGGCCAUGCGCACUCGGUACGAUGUCUUGCGGAGCUCCCGGACCACCUGGGUGAUCUGCGAGUGCGUCCUCCUGCAGAAAAGCAACCGACCAAGAAAUCAAUCAAGAUUCUCAACGGCUCAAGUCAGAGGAGCACAAAUCUUACGUCGCGUAAUAGAUGGUCGGAGCAUUCUUCUUCUUGGCCGCCUUUUCUGGGACGCCUAAACAUCAAGAAUGGCAACUGGGAAAUGAGCGAUAAAGAAGAGCAGAUCGUUCUUGAUCCAAGAAUUGAUGGCAAGAGAAAGAAAGGGGGAAGGUGCGAGCGUAGCGUACCCGGAGUCGCCUGCUGCUGCUGGGUGUCGUCGGGGACGAAUCCGCCGCCGUGGAGGAAGGGGUCGGCAGCGGGCGGGGCCGGGGGCGCACGGAGCGGGUAGUGGCGCUGCCAAGCGAGCGCAGAGCAGAGGAGGGAGAGCGACUUUCCGGUGCCGGUGGGCGACUCGAGGAGCGCGUGCGAGCGGCCCUGCCGCCGGGCGCGGUCCAGCGUAGCGAUAACCCGGCCCAUGAAGGCCAGCUGCGUCCCGUACGGCUUGUAGGGGAACUCCACCGGCACGCCACCGACCUGGUACACGCCGCCUCCGAGACGCGCGGGUGCGGGCGAGGGCGCCGGGGUGGCGAAGUCGUCGGCGGCGGCGGCCAUCGCGUCGGCUCCCAUUGGUAGCGGGCGCACGACUCGUGUUUGUGGUUUUGCCCGUGAAGGGGAGAAAGGGAAAUGUUUUUUUUAGACAGAGAGAGAGAAAGGGGGGAAAGUCCGAAAGGGGUUUGGGCGCGAGGAUUUUGGACGCCGCGCGCCAUCCUAAAUAUUUCGACUCGCGACAGAGGUCCGCUUCCUGGGCGGACCAUUGUUUGGGCCCAUCAGCCCAUCUUGAGUUGGAAGGCUGAGGUUUUACGUUUGCUUUAUGCCGUACAAUUUUAAACUGAUUUAUCAAAAUACUCUUCGAGGUAAACUAAAUCAAGCGUGCCGUCGUCUCACAUAGGCACUAGCAAAAUAGCUUUCGAGCAAUGCCAAGAAGAAGAAAAUGUCAAAUGAAAUGAAAUCAGGUCAACCUAAAGGUUUCAAUCAACCGCAACACCAAACAUAUCCGAUAUCCCUGCUAAGGCUUAGUUGGCGGUUGCUACAACCCUCGGUGCAAAACAUGAACACAAACCAUCUAAAAAAAUGAAUACAAAAGAUAAACUUAUUUUAUAAUCCUCUGGAAAAAUAAACACGCAAAAAAUGAAAAUUUGGUUAACCAAAUAAUAAAGGGUGGAGCAAAAACAUUAUUGUGUUAGUCCGCCACAAUACCAAAUGCAGCCUAAAGUGCAUGGCUUCACCAGAGCCAUAGAAGAAAUUUUCUAUAGGCCAGCAAAGCUAUUAGAUUUUUUCUAUUAAUCCCUCUGCUAGUCUGCUGACCUGGUUAAACCAAGGCGCAUGUUCGUAUUUACAUGAAAAUAAUUGGUUUUCGACAAUCAGAAAACGAAUGGCUACUGUACAGUGUCUAUCACUUCCUACAGAUCACAUUUCGUAGGGCUAUUCGACCUCAUCUUCCUGCUAGCUAGUGGCUACAUCCUACAGGCCGCCACGGCGUAGCCUCCUCAGCUGUUUAAGGCGAGUCUGGGCGCGCUCAAGGCAGGGUCCGUGGUGCGACAGGCCAUGCCAGGGCUCCGUCUGACUCCUCCCGUUCAGCGUCCCAAGCCUCGCGAGCUCGUCGCGGAGGGAUGCAACGUUCACGAUGGGCACUGUGGUCGGACGCCCAUGUGCACACUGCAAGAAACGGAAUGUUCUCGUUUCAUUUACUUUGCAAAACCACAUAGCGGCGACGGAAACAAGGAGUGGGGAUUCUACUGUCUUAUUUUGUUACCUGGAAGCACAGAGAUGUUGCUUUCAGUUCUUCGAUGAUCAGACAGCACUCGGACGGUAGCAAGGGAUCGCCAAACAUAAUUGCUCCUACAAUAGUAAACCAAAGGUGGAACAUCAGCAUCUUGAUUUGGAUCAGAAACGGAACUUACAGAUUGCACAAAAUGCUCGAGGAAAAAGAAUCGCAUUAUGAUUUAAUAGAGGAAAGGAAGAAAUGGUUACCUCUGCAAGCUUUGAAAUUAAGAAUACGGAGAACUGCUGGGGGAAUAGUUGAUGACCCAUCACUCUCAUCGAGCUACAGAGAAUAGCAACAGGUAUGGAACAGAAGGACAGUGAAGUAGCUCAGUAGCUGUAACAGAAACACAACUGCACAUCUGCAUAUUUUGCUAGGCAAAUUGUUAAGUAGACAAGGCAGUCAUAUUCUCCAUCAUUUCAUUACGAAUGACAAGUUGACAAUUUUAUUGCUCUCACUCAUGCUAGUUCCAUACACGUUAUUCUUUAUCUUCCUGGCUGCAUUUUCUUACACAAGAGUAAGACUAGUGUGUCAUGAAAAGCAUUAUAUCUUCAAACAAUUUGACUUCAAAUGAACGAGAAGAACUUAAAAGGAAGUGGAGCAGGAUCAAUCACCUGCUGAAUAAAGUCCAUAAGAUCUUUUCCUGUUAAAUCGACGCCCAAAAUACAUGGAACCUGUGUAGUGUAGAUAAUGUUUAGUGCACGAGAAUACUUGAUGCAGUUUCAUCUGAUAAGAUUUCACCAGAUACCUUUGACACCAUUUGGGGAAAUAAUUGCAUGGAAAACUAAAGACAAACUCAACAAUUGCACUUCUAAGAGGCACUAAGAUAAAAGUGUGCACAGUGUUAACGUAAGGCUCGAGAGCUACCAAUAGCACAACACACAAAAGUUAUUGUCAACUACCAAACUCAGGAAGAGCAGUUACUUCUGAAAAGACAUGGUGAUAUUGAUAUCAUAUACUCCGUAGAAGAUAUGGCCUGAAGAUUACAAGGAAAUAGUAUUUAUUAUGUGUGAAACUUGUCUGUAAUUCUCUUGCAACUUCCAAGAAACCUGCGCUUUGCUUUUCUUUCCAUUUUAACAGUAAUUAAUCCAUGCAUAACUUUAUGGACAUCAAAGAUCAAACCAACAUUGGGUUUCAUGGCAUAACCAUUUACCAAAGAAAUAAUAGGUAGCCAGAAAUAGUACAAACCAAUAGGCCUCCUCAUCCAGUGGAUAGAUUGAAGUAAAAGAUAUACGGGCAGCAAUACUACAAACAUGUUGAAUAAAUAUUGAUGACAGAAAAGGGGCAUACAGCAGUAAGAGCAACUAGACGGGCUUGUCUCCUCAGAAUGUUCAUGUUCCUGAGAAGAAGAAAAACGUAAGUGGUAUAUGUUAGUAUAUAUCCCUCCGAUUCAUAAUAACUGUCGGGGAUUUGGUACAAAUUUGUACCAACUUUGUACUAAAUCCUCGACACUUAUUAUAGAUCGGAGGGAGUACAAAGAAGAUGAUCAGAUGAACAUAUUUUGGUCCUUCUGAUUAUGAUCAACUGAAGCAUACGGACAAUGCUAACUAAAUUACAAAUCUAAACAGAACUAUAAGUCAAGUCUCAGAUUGUUAAAAAUAAGAAAGGGGAGGGAACACUAAUUACAUCAGGGAAUAUAAUAACUAAAAUGAACGCAAGGAGAAACAUGUGCAAGAAAACCUCAUGAAAAUUGCAUAAAAGGUUAAGCAGGCCAAAAAAAGCAGGCCAGAUGAUAAUCAAGCACAUACUUUUUGAAUGAUUGAGAAGAACUGCUAGAACCGUUGAUGAUCCAGCCCCAUUUCUGAAUCUGCUCACUGUACUUCUGGAACAAUUGAAAUCCAGUCUCAGGGAGAGCCUGACACCAUGAGGAGAAUAAAAUAGCAAACAGUAAAUCAUAGUGAUGUUUCCAUAUUUUACAGUAAGACAAUGCCUCGGAUGCCAACUUAUAAAAGAUGAAGUACCAUAUCCUCCUCUGAGUCCAAGUAAGUGAUUCCUCGGUCUUCAUCUGAUAAAACCUGAAAAUCCAAAGGAUAUUAGUACGUAAGAUGAAAAAACAGUGUUAAAGAGAUCUUCCCUGGUAAGUUUAACACUAAAAACCUUGCCACGAAGCUCCUCCAAGCGUAUCCUUUCAUCAGCUGCAUGCUGUACACAAGUAAAAGAGGACAUCACUAGCUAAAACCUUUCAGAAAAGACUUUCUAUCACCAUACAUCUAUUGUCUACUUUUGAAAGUACAUGAACAUAAGAAAUGCAUGAUACACAAUCCAAUACACAAAAUAUAAUCCAAAUACUUUCUAGUAUCGGGCAUAUAUCCCCAAAAAAACUGUGAUCAAGCAUGAUAAACAUCUCCUAUAGGUGGUUGAGUCUAAAACCGUGACUGUGAAAUAGAAUAUCCAGUUCAUGGACUUCAUGAUUUGAUCACUCAAAAUGCACCAAUCAACAUGAUUAGUUCCAAUUCCAUGAAUGAUUGACAUUAAAUAAACAAUAUAUAUACAAACUGUUAAAAAUUCAUUAAUCAAAUAACCAAUUACGAACCUGAUCAACAAGUAGCAGCAUCUCCCCAGAUAUGACAGGAAUAAAUUUCUUAUCUAGCUGAAACAGAACUCUUGCCUCCUCAAAGCACUUUUUAUCAAUAUAUUCUGGAACUAGCGAGCUACAAGAGAGAUUUAAGGGCCCGGAAGAAAUGCUAAGUACGUCGUUGAAGCAUUCAGAAGGAACAUGUGGCAACUUCAAAGCCUACACAAGGAGAUAAGCGGUAAGCAUAGAAAGCAUGCACAGUAACUAGGCCAUAUUGUGAAGUCCAUGAAUGUGAGCAUCUCAAAUUUUUAAUGCAUGCUCAACUGUAUGCUGGUCCGAGUCAUCUCGCCAUUUAGUUAUUUGCGCAGUAGAGUUUUCAAGCCCAUCAGAAUAUGUCUCUUCACACAUUUUCACAUUUCCUUUCAAGCUGGCUCAAAUGAGAGAAGUGCUUAGAAACAGGCCCAGAAAGACUUUUGCAGCAUUAAACAGAUGCGGCAAGAGCAGAAUACCUGAGAUUUAGGGCAGAAAAAUCACUGCUACUAGUCUCAGGAAUAGGCUGGGUUGCACUCAUUUGUGAGAUAUCCUCGGGUGCAGGUGUGGCAUCUGCAUUUAAUUAUAAGAAUACGAACUUAGAUCCAACAAUGGAAUAUAAACGGGAUGGAAAAGAUUAUGAGCAGAAGAACCUUCUUUGUCAUUAAUCGGGAUAGCUUUAUCAUGUUCUGCUGUCAAUUUGGUCAGAUGCUCAUUCAAUCCAGGAAAUUUUCGUUUGCCUCUGUAAAAUGGUGGAGCAGAAUGACUCCUAGAUCUACUACCCUUGGAAAGCCUGGAUCUCCAACCAAAUCCAAAAUUUUGUUGACACAGUUGAUCUUCAAUAAGCGCACUGUCUUUUGCCAUUUGGGGAGAAGAAACAUUCAACUGGCAACCAGAAGUACUUUUCUCGGGAGAAAUAUUGUAUGAUAAUGUUGCAUCAAAUUUUGAUUUCCAGGGUACCUGACAAUCUUCAGAAACAAACUGGCCGACAAAACAAUUAUCAUGAUUGAAGUAAUUAAGCGACUGAGUUUCUUCAUCAAAGUUAUUAAAAUGUUUAGGUCCUUCACUUGUUCUUCGUGAAUCACUGAUAUAUCUUUCCAAAGAAGAUUGAAAAUCACUGUCAAUAUUUUCAGAACUCCAAUAAGCAAAGCUCUUAUUUGAUUCCCCGUGCAAUUCCAAGUCAGUCCUUGCAUGACUGUGACUAUGAGGUGUAUCAGCCAAUGAAAAUGGAUGAGAGAAAUGGAAGUAUGUAUCUUCGAUGGAGGACCUAUCAAUGUCGUCACUUCCCCACCUUGCUUGUAUUUCAGGGAAGUUUAUAUGGGCAACUGUAUUAGCCUCAAGGUCUUCAACAUAUCCCACUGCAUUCCCUAACUUCUUUCUUGCGCUGCACCUUUUCAGGACACUAGAGGUGCUACGAUCUUCAUGAUAGAAUCCAUCACUGGAAUGCGACAUUUCAGGGCAAGAAACAUCAGCUAUUGUCUUCGUAACGUCAUUGAGUAGGCAAUCCUCAUUUAGUUUACAAAAUUCAGCAUAGAACCCAUCAAAGACAGACAUGUUUGCCUUUAUAUUGGUUUCGUUUUGCAUAAAAUCACAGGUAAUUCUGUUUGGUGUACUGAGAACCCCAAAGCAAGGGUCUUGGAGAUCAAUUUCUGGACCAAUUAUCUCAGACUCUUGAUCAUCAGCUGAAAGGCCUAUUGUUUGUACAUCUUUGGACUUGACAAAAUUACAGGAAUAUUCAUGCCCAUGGAAUAUACCUUCCACUCGUCGCUUUUUCCAAACAGUUGGGUUAGCACAUGAAAGAUCACAGUCUUCUAACUGGGAAGAACCACCCUUUAACCACUGAUGACUGAUGCUUUCAGGAACACGUGCUUGUGUAUGCCCAAAUAUCUGAUCAUUACUAUCAACAUUGUCAGAGUGUUUGGAUGCACCGAUGAUCUGGUCAGGGUAGCAGACAUGCCAUGAGGAUGGCUUCAUAUCGAAAGAAAAGGAAUGUGAGUCUUUAGGUCCUGUUGCUGCAUCCAUACAAACAUUGCUUUCUCUGACCACACUCUUCUGCAGAGAGCGUUUGUGUAAGUCAACAUCGUCUUCCUUGUUCUGCACAUUCUGAUGCCUUAGGAGGCUCCCAUUGGACUUCCCUGCAAUGACAACACAUGAACAAAGCUCACAACGAAAAAAAUUCAAAAUAGAACCAAAGAAGUGAAAUAUGUUCACCAAGUCACUAACCAUCACAUUUCAGAGGCACAGAGGUAUCAAUCGCUUUGCCUGCCAAUACGAAAGGAUAACAUAAAACAUUCAUUCAUACCGGUCAGUUCUUCUCUUCAGUUACUAUAUAAAUGCUCGUGUGUUCCUACAGAAGUGAUUAUUUGUCCCAUGAGUGGUUUAAGUGCUUGUGCCAUCAUAAUCCCUAACCUUUUGUUUCUAUUAAAAAAAAUCUCAAAACACACAUCAAUCAAAUCAACUAAUCAGAAGAUUGUGACACAUAUGUCUACUACAUAGAAUGGAUGAAACAUUGUGGUACGCCCUCCAGCCUUUUAUAGUGGGUGUGCACCGCAUUUCGAGAUUCAACUUUGACCACUAAUUAGACCAAUAAUAUGUAGUUUAUGUGUCACAAAAAUUAUACCAUUGUGUUUGUAUUCAAAAGAGUUUUCGAUGGUGUAAUUUUAUGCCACAUAGCUCACAUAUUACUGGUGUAAUUGGUGGUCAAAGUAAAAUUUUGAAAUGUGUUCGCGCUCACUAUAAAGGGACUGAGGGAGUAAUCUUUUAGCAACCUAAGUGGCAAUCUUGCUGAGGGAGAAAAGACUACCAUCAACUAAAAUCUUUAUAAGAAUAAAGAAAGGAUUUAGCUUUUUCGAGACAAUAUAAGGCAAAUAAAGAUCUCAGUCUCUACCUUUGGAUGGUUGUGGUACAUGCUUCUUCCAGUAGUUUAUGAUAGUAUCUUCAAAGAUAAACAAUAUACUUUGCCAGUCCUGAAUAGUGAGAAAAGAAGAGGGAAAUAUAAAAAAACGCAAUAGCUGCAAACGGAAAAACAUAAAAAGACAUUAACAUCUUAUUUCCGGAAGGCUCAAGUCACCUUUAUUAAGUGCUCGUUCUUUUUCUAAUGAAAACUAAGUAUGAGUCCAGGCAAAUGAAGCUUUAUUAGAAAAAAGAAAAAAGGGGACUCAAAAGCAUACAUAUACGUCUAAUCACCUUGAACUCCACAACAGUUUUUGAAGGCUCAUAAUAUAGAUCGUAGCUAGAUCUAGGGCAGAAGAAGUUUAGCAGAUAUGCAGGGUAGACAUCAGUCUUCUGCCUCUUCCGGCUCUGAACAUCGUUUUCUCCAUUCGUCCUUAUCAUGGAAGACUGGAAAGUAGCUGCCAGAUUAUUCAGAAUAUUAUGUAUUGGGCUUCUACUGACGAAUCUUGAGUUGACAUCUUUGAGAAGUCAAGGAUGUCACCAACUCCAAGCAUUUGAAAAAGUUUGAAAAAUGCUAAAUAGAAGUAGAUAACAAAGAACUGUCAAGUAGGAUACACAAGUACUGGAAAUCCUGAAAUGGAGAGGUGCACUUUGCUUUAGAUGGUUUGUCAAAUUUCUGUUUCAAUUGCUUGGAAUACACAGAACUGGCAUUACCUUAUUAGAGAAGACAUCGGUUGGUCCAGAUAUGUGCCCUGAAAGAGCCCAGUUCUGAUCUGAGGUAGAUAUUUCAUGAAGACAACUGGAAACAUCAUUCCCAAAACUGUUUGAUAUAAGAGGCAAAGAGGAUGAUGAAGGAACUGUACAUAGCAACUCAUCUUCGCUGCAUUUAUAGAAAAACAUUCAGAUUACAAAUACAUAAGUAAAUUUAAGAUGCCUGGCAUAGGACAGUGGACUACCUCUACCUGUCAAUGUCAAGAAGUCUGAAUGAAAUCUGUGGAUGAAUAAGUGCAACUCGCAGGACACACUUCUUCACAUUCUGCAGUUCUCUUUUAUGACUAACAAAUAUAAUAUUGAGAAAAAUAUUAAUCAAAUCUUCUUUUGAACAAAACUGUGAAACAAAAGAAAUCUAUCUUAUCCUUCAUAAUAAAAGAAAGAUCACAUGUACCUAGAUUGCAUUUGUUUUCUCCUGACUGGUUGGUUGUAAAAAAGCUCCCGAACAACAACUACAAAGAUAGAAGUGUUCUGAUAAGUAGCUUUCCAAAACAAAAAUAUAGUACACAUGAUUAGUGUCCAAUGCCAUCAUCUCAUUCUUCACAUGCAUCAGGUACAUCUAGUGCGCUUGCUUGGUGAACAUGUGUUGCAUACAUAACACCCGCUCUGCUUUGUUUCAAGGAGAAAUACCCAACUACCUGUUGUGCCAACAGCUUCCCUCUGGUCAUCUAUUCCCAGAUGCGAGCAUUUGGAUCCCUGUGCAGUUGCCACAAGACAUUCAGAUAUGCUAUACAAGGAUAGAUAAAGGAUAUGCACAUUGCACAGCAAUAAAUCGGUAUAGCGAGUGAGUGUUGCCUUUAUUAUCUUGCAGUAUGAAUUUGGUCUCCCACGAGAUUUCGUCCUGACUUCAACCACAGAGAUAUCAGAGAGUGAUGCGAGUGCCUCUCCAUUUAAUCCAAAACUUCUAGAAGCAGAUUCCCCAUCACCCAUGGAAUCAUGGAACUUGGAUGUUGCUGUGGCAGAAGGGAGUUAUACAUCAUUAGCACGUUAAAAGACACUGGAUAUCAUUGAGUACACUCUUUUAAACUUAUACAUAUUUCAGCAGUGAGCCUACAAAAACUUGCACAUAUUUCAGCAGUAAACCUACACUCAAUGAGUGACAAAGAAAUCAUUGAUUCUGAGGGGUUCCUACUUACUAACAAUCAAAAGAACCCUAGAUUUGUUCAAUCCUAAAGAUGAUGAUAGAGCAUGAACUAAAUUGUAUUUUGUAUUGAACAAAGAAACAAGAUGCACAAUAAACAAAAUAGCAAAUUCGCCACCUAGAAGGUACUAAUGCAACUAACAUGUCAUGGCUCGUAGUGAUAUCUAUAUGAACUUAAUGAUGAUUUCAUAACUUUCCAUGCUCUUUUAAUGGAAAUAAAGCAUCCUUAGAAACAGACCCAAGAUCAUUAUGGGUCAUGAGUUUAUGGCUUUAUGCAAGUAACAAUCAGACACACGGGAUACAAUAAACACAUAUCCUUUCAAUAUCAAUCAUCGUUAUCGAGGCCAAAUAUCACAAGAAUGGAUGUCCUUUCCAGUAUUACUCUUUAAAUUUCAUCUGAUUUCAUGGACAAUACUAUUCUGAGGUCAGAAUAGUAUUUCAUGGUCUGAUUUCAAUAUCAAUCAUCGUCAUCGAGACCAAAUAUCACAUGAAAUCAGAGCAAUACUAUUCUCAGGUCCAUGAAAUCAGAUGAACAUCAAGGUCUGGUCCAUUUUGUGAGUGGCAAUAAUGCAAUUUAAGAUGAAGCAAACAGUACUACUGAGUGCAGGAAAAGGCAAGCUUAUAAAUAAGGAGAGCAGAACUUAUGACUUACCAUAUUUUUCUCCCAACAGAACCAAUUCAUCUCGAGUAAUACCACAACCUGCAAUAGAGACACAACUAACAUUUCCUUUCCUAAACACAAAUCCAAGUGAUAAGAAAUUUAAAACAUGAGGUAAGCACAUACCAUCAUCUUCCACUUUAACAUAACAUGAUCUGACAUUUAGUGAGAUGUCAAUCUGAAAUUAUUACAGUUGUAUAAAAAUGUCAAUUCAUCACCAUGGAGAUACUACAUGUAGAUUAUUUUAGCCUUUUGAAAGCAAUACCCAGUAUAGACAUUACAUUUGGAAUUGUGGAUUUUUUGCAUUUAUUCUAUUUUAAUGUAAAAGCCACGCCUAUUGACGACAGUACAUGUAGAUUAUUUUUCCAUUGUUACACGUGAAGGAAAUACCUUUUUCGCAUUUGCAUCAAUGCUAUUAUAUAUCAACUCCUCAACGACCCUAAGUAGGUCAGACAGAACAAUGCUUGAGCGCAAGGAGCUAUGAACACUUUUCGGCAAGCGUUUUAUAGUCUGCAUUGACAUGUUCUGGAGAAAAAACAGGUUAAGCUUAAAUCAGCCAACAUUCAGGAAUCAAACAUAUCCAAGCAAAAUAAAUAGGAAACGUCAGAAAUUUCUUCCAGAAAUAUACAAAAAAAACUUGCUAGUAGGUUGCUUGAUCAAGUGAUGAGUGAGUAGGGUAUGGUUAUAACCGGAAACUUGGUUUGUAAAUUUCCGUUUAUUUUGAAAUUUGGUUAUUAGCAAAUGCUAACCAAAAAUGGUAUCAGAAACCAAGGAACCGAAAAGUAGAUUAACUGACAAUUGGUUUGGUUUUUGGUUAAACAUCGAAUUUGAGGAUCACACCCUCUUACUGUCGUCACCGGCCGGGAAUGGAGCACCUGAUGGCCGUUGGGUCUGUCGGACUGGCGGCAGCUGAUGUCGUGGAGGGAAGCUGGUGGGCGCGGCCGCGUCGCGUGGAGGAGAGGUGCGUCGGCGCGUCGCGUGGAGCUGACAAGAGGCACGGCGGCGCGUGGAGUGGCGUGGAGGAGAGGCGCGUACGCUGCCAAUGGACAAGAGAGUCGACGCCGUCGGUCCGCGCCUCCGUGAGGACGUGGGGUGGAGGCGUAGAGGUAGACCAGUGAAGGCCUGGGUGGCUCGGUCCCCUGCAGGCUGCGGCGGCGCCGGCCGUGGCCCGCGGGAUAGAGACGUACAGGCCUAGAUGGAUGGGUGGCUCGGUCCCCUGUGGGAUGCGGCGGAGCCGACGGCUGGCGGCGGCGGCGAUAGGUCGGUUGGGAGUCGGAGUCGGGGACGAGGCCUCGGCACUUAGACGCGCUAGCGGGCCGAUGUUGUGUACUCAACUGUUAACUAGCAGUUCUUUUGGGCCUCGGGAGUAGUUUUUUUGGGCAUCUUUGGGCCAGGCAUCAUAUCGCGGUUUUCUCUGGUUAACCAGGUCUAAAACUCCCCUAAAAAAAAACAGGUCUAAAACUGAAAAUUCCCUUCAGCUUGAACACCAAAUGGCCAAUGCUGCCCGUGAAACCAAAACACACAUCCCCUUCUCUAUCCUUAUUUUUUUUAAACGGAGGCAAAGUUUGCCUCGUCUCAUUAAUUAAGAAGAAAUUUGUUGUCCGGUUAAUUAACGAAAAACCGAACAAAAACCGUUACAACACUUCUAAGAGCCAUCGUGCAUGACAGCCCUAAAAACACCACAAGCCCAUCUGGCUACCAAACGCACUCCACACGUGCUAUCGAGGAGAAGAUCGUCGUUGACUUUUUUCGCUGGCGUCAUCGUCAUCACACAUCACUCCUCAAGCUAGCAACUCUGACUUCACCGCAAAUGACCCCAAACGAAACCCUCGUCGCAACAGUCGCCUGAAGCCCACGCACCGAGAAAGGGCAAGCCUUGCGCCGGAGAUCGCCGCUCAACGAUCGCAUCAAUCGUGAGGCACCGUUGCCACCAUGCCGCAAGAGACACCCAGCGAACAGAAAGGGGGCAGGCGAGGGCGAUCGAACGAACAAAAGAAGAAGGGUCGGGUCGGGCCGGGCCAGGUCGACGGGCCUAGUCAGACUUCAGGGAGCCAACACGGGCAAUGCUGCGACGGCGGCUCCUCGCCUGAGUGGGUUCUAGCCCGGCAAGCCGUCGAUAGUGCACCUCAGCUGUGCGAGCUCCCGUCGGUGGGGAGGCGGCGAGGCGGUCGUGACGACGGGAGAAGCACACCAAUUUCAUGCAGCAGAUUAUGCGGAGCCGGAGGACGAUUUCGAUGGAAAGAGCACCUAUUUAGUGUCAAUGUGAAGUGGGGGCGUACGAUGAAAUGCUCAAGCAAUGUGGUGUAUGAAUUUGGUGUUCUUGGUUAGCUGCUGGAUCAUAAAGGGAUGUGUUGCGAGAAAAGGUUGCUUCAACUCUUAUCUUUCGCAUCCACUAGAAAAUACUUUUGAACAAUUUCCUAGCAAGGCAUGAACAUUUCACGAUUAAAGAAGACACGGCAUCUUAAUUCUAUGUUUCUUCAUUCCUGCCUUUUUAGAUUUCUACAUACAUGUGAAACAUAGUAAAUCUCAUAUCUCACUCUCAUCAGAUUUAAGUAUUCCACGGUGCAGCCCACGGGUCGAAUCACUGAUGAAUAGCAGCGGCAAGCAAGCCUCUACAGGCUAGCAGCACGCUGGUUCUGAACCCAUGAGGCAGCUUUCCAACCCAGAACCACCCCGAGAAGAAUUGAAACACACUGGACUGCGCUGUACUGCAUCCCACUUUCUCAAAUAGUAAAAGGGAAGGGGAAAAAAAGGCUGAUGGCCAGAUCACAUUACCAAACACCUUACACUUCCUAGUUCAUGCCAGCACAAAUAGGCAGAAUCAACAAUUCAUCAGCUCUGCACCCAAAUCACGCUACUCGCUACAUCAAAACACAGGAUGUUAUGAAGAAAUGCAACGUGACGAUGGUAACCCCACCAUCAUUGCUGCCACUACAAAUAAUUUGUCAAGCUGCGCCAGCAAUACUAGCUCUUGCAGCCCACGUAACACCAGAUAGGUGAACAAAGACCGAAGGCCAUGAUUCGUCGCAAGCGCCAGUCAAAAUGAGCACUCCGACAGAGCCAAAUCUAUAAGCUGUUAUCAGUCAGGCUUCCAGGUCACUGUAUUGUCGAAUCAGUUGAGCCAUGCGUGCUUCAGACACUCCGCGGCAGUGGGCCUAUUUUCUGGAGUAAAAUCUAGGAUCGGUCGAAGAAAGUCAGCAAACCCGUUGGCGUCCGUUUCAGUGAAAUUGUACCUCUCGACAAGUACACGUUCCAAAGGCCAGAACUUGAGCCUUCUGAUCCUCUUUAAAUCUCCAUGUCGGUCGAAGUAAACCUUGGAAUGGGUACCUGAGCUAGCAAUCUGAAAGAUAACAGCAAGAUUAGGGAGCACACUAGGGAGCAUGACAGAGAGAGCAGGAGAGAGUUUAUAAACCUUCUUAGGCAUCUUUCCAAGUGUUUCCAUCAUCAGAGCUAGGUGAUCCUACAAAGGGUUAAGCAAUUGAGAAGAUGAGUUGAAUGGUUGAUAAUAACACUUGCAUCAUUGCAUGGCAUCAGAGUAGACUUUGUAGCUAAGAAUAGACAUCUGAACUUGAUUUGUUAAUGAGUACUAUAAGUGUCACUAUGACAAACAAUCUUACAUAGGUAGACAUGGGAUUCACUUUAAAGGAAAAUCCACCAGGCAGAGUAACAAGCAUUUUAGCUGCCAUUAUUCAAUUUUCACUGGCUACAGAACAGUCUGUUGGUGUUGGUACAUUACCUUGUGCCAGUGUAUUACAUCUGGCAAGGAGAAACAGAACAGCUCAAUUUAGAGUUGCUUUUUAGUACACUGUAGAACCAGAACAGGGCACUUGAAUUUGAACCGUGUAUCACAUUAAGAUGCAAUUUCCUCUGUACAGCAGUCCUAUGAUAUCUGGUAACUGUACAUGAAAUGUUUCUAUAAAUUCAGUUUGGACUUUGCUGCAUCCAGGGAUGUCUGACCAAUCAACAUAACAACUGCUGGAAUUCUAAAAAACAGGUUGACGCCUGCAAUCUAGGCAUUACGAUGAAUAUACUAGCUUGAAUAAACGUCAGACAACCCAGGUACUAACAAAGGUAGUUAAAAAAUAUAUGAAAGAGCCUUCGUUAUCAAAGCUACUAGCAUAUGGAAAACAGUGCUGAAAAUAGAACAUGAAAUUCAUGUUUUUAUACCUCAUCUUCAUUGCAGCCCUGGCAAUUCUUAGGAGCAAACAGCAUGUCACCUGUGGCAAGCUCGAAUACCAUACAAGCGAACGACCACAUAUCGGCUGAAUAAGAGUACACAGAACCGAUGAUAACCUCAGGGGCUCUAUACUCCCUUGUCUGUAUCUCACCAGCAAGCCGCUGGUCAGCCCAGCAGGCAUUCCCGAAAUCGACAAUCUUGCACUUCAUACUAAUGCCAUCUAGACUUCUCUCCUUCUCCACCUCCGCCCCAACUCCACCGAGAGACACCCGCCUCAGUGAAAUCUUAGCCACGGCACGUCUCGCCCGUAUCUUAAGCAUCUUUUCACUGAAACUAGUCACCUUUCCACCAUAUUGGUUUCCCACAGGCCUUUCCAAGAUCGGGGUAAACCCGGAGCGCACUGGGUCCUUCGAUGGGUUUAUUGUCGACACAAGGAGGACAUUCUCUGGCUUCAAAUCCGUGUGGAUGAUGCCAAGCUCCCUGUGCAGGUAAUCAAGACCAACCAGCACUGACCGGCAAAUUUCCCUCACUCUGCUCAGCCCAAUGCCCUUGUUCCUGUUGUACCGUAUCAGCCGCAGCAAGCUGUCGCCAAGGAACUCGGUUACCAGACAAAUGUGCUGACCAUUUGGACCAGAAUGCUUGAAAUGGUCCAGCAAUUGCACAACGCACUUGGAAUUCGUCGGGUCACCCUUGGCUACCGCCGACAGUAACUCGAUCUCAUGGAGGGCCGCAUGCGCAUAAUCCCUCGCGCUCUUCUGUAUCUUGAGCGCCACAAACCUCUGCAGGUUUUACAAUGGCAGUAUCAAAUUAGCAAUUUGUACCGUAUAGAUUGCACAAUACAAAGUUCCAUUCUAGACGGAAAACAGGAAUCAGUUUUGUUCUCAGUUCACACAUAUCAAAAGAGAGACCAAAAACACGAGUUUUCUUCUCUACUUUACCAGUUUUGUAAUCUUGGGAUCAAAAUGAAGAGUUUGUUGAAAUAAAGGUCGGCGGAAAGCUCUACAGAAUCAAAUUUGAACAGAAAAAUGAUGCACAGAAGCUAGCAAUGGAACAGGGGUAAAAGCGACAAAGCGCCAUGUUUCGGAUUGCAGCAAGCUCCCAAACAAGUGAAACAACCUCCACCCAAGUUUGGAAAAUCCAAAAGCAACCGAAAAAAUCGAACAAAUCUCCAACGCCGCAGAAAGAACAAGCCAUGAAAACAAAGCACCAUGGAACAGGAAACAAUUAGCAAGACGCGGGAAGCAGGGAGAUGAGGGGCCGGAGAAGGGACGUGCCUUGAGGAGGGUGUCGUACGCGAGCCAGACGGUGGAGAAGUUGCCCCAGCCAAGCUUCCGCUGCGCGACGAACCUCCCGCCGGCGAACCGGUCCCCGGGCCGCGCGGCGUGGUACCCGCCCUUCCGGUACCCCUCGGGCCCCUCCUCCUCGUCCUCCCCAUCUGACCCGGACGAGUAGCCAUAGCCGCCGUUGCCGAACGCCGCCAUCGAUCGGUCCUCCUCCCUCCGGAUUCGAACUCUUUGCGGGGAGCGAGGGGGCAGGCGGCUAGGCUAGGCUGGGUUUGUAUGCCUUUGUUAAACGAGAGGAUUUUUCUGGUGACUUUGUUCGGUCGGGGAGAAAAGUGGCCAUUCCACCACCACCACCACCUGCUGCGGCGGAGUAGGAAUGGAUGGGAUGGCCGCCGGUCACGCGGUUAAAUUGCAUCAAUUGCUAUCGAAUGCUAAAUUACCGGAAUCUAUCACAUUAGCGCAAACCAAGGUUAAAUCACUUGUAGAAAUACUUUAUUUUUAAAACGCUGUGAAAUUUCUGACGUGUAUGACUAUGACGUCAAUCUUUUUUCUAAAAAUGACUCGCACUUCUUUGCAAGAUUGAAAAAUUAGACAUUGUGAUGUAAUUCAUGAUAUGGUAUUUUUUUUAAAUUGCUCGAAACGAGACAUGAAAACUAUAGUUGGACGACCUUGGGCUGAGAAGGAUUUUCGGCAAACUCUGCCUUAUGUUCUUUUGGUAAAUAUUGAAUUCCCCGCAAAAAAAGAGACACGACAAUAUAUCUGGAAAAUGGUUGUUAAGGAAAAACUUUACGUUGAUGCUAUUUUGAUAUAUAUUUUGUGUAAACAAGCCGGACAUCUUUAUCGUUUUGAUCCUAUCCUACACUUACUUUGGAUCAAGUUUAUAGCAAAAUAAUUGGUCAUAAAAGUAUGAUAACAUAUCUAAUUUUUUUAAAGGAAAAUCUUUAUUGGUGAUUAUGUGAUAUACGUCUCGUGUAAACGUCAUGUAAACAAGGCAUGAUGUUAGAACGACUCUUCAAGUUAUAAAAGAGUCAGGUUGCGUGCAUAAUAAUCUAAACCAGCCGAAAAGAUAUGUCAAAGGACGCAAGUGUCAAUCUUUACUCUUAUAAAAGAGUCAAUUGGUGGCGGCAGUCCGUCACAUCCUUUUGUUGUAAAUAAAAAAUCUUCUCACCUUUUCUAUUGUCAAAAGAAAACUUUUCCUCUUUUUCCAAUGCAAACAGUGAAACCUAUUUGUUCCGUUAUCAGUUGAUAACGGACCGCGGCUAUAAUUUCGGUCGAAUGGGAAAAACAAAAAUUAAAUCUAUUGCAAAAAGCUGACAUGUGGAUAAUGUUUGUCACCAAAAUUAAAAUUAAAUAGACAGUCUUUUGCAGUAGGUCACCAAAAGGCUCACAUGCUAUGAAUUAAAUAUGUAAUAGUGAUUUUAGUCUAACAGUGAGUAGUCUAAUUUAUUUUAUCCAUAGCAACGUAUGGGUAUUUAGCUAGUAAGUGAAAAGGGAGUGAAGAAGGAGGAUAGGCCGUUAGUCAUGAACAAGUAACAAAAUAUGACAGACGAAUCAACAUUGGGUCUAACCGAUGUUCUCUUGAAAUGUCACGAAAUGUUUUCACUGAAAAUGUGAUGUUUUGUAUGUUGUUGAGCGAUUUCUGUUACAACUCGUUUGGCAUCCAUUGUUUCAUUUCAUUUGAAAUGAAAUCCAGAAAAAGUAAUGACUCCUAGAGAGUAUUAAAAAAUCUGGCCAGUAUAAUGCUGCAAAAGCUUGCGAUAUGUUCACGGUUAUUGUAGCCGUUCAAGAAUUUCUUUUACACGUGCACGGGAGAUCUGCUCCAUAGCCGGUGGUCUUUGUUCGUGAGAUCUGCCCUAGUGACUAGUGAGGUCCUGGCCAAUUUUUUUACUCCGAUUGAAUUGGGAUCCUGUCUACCGACGUGACGGUUGGUCAUCGUCUCCUUGGGGAGCACCGGAGCAUGUGUCGUCAGUUGGUAGCUCCCUUUCUUUUCUGUCCGAACAAAAAUAUGCUAGCUGGUGCACUUGCAAAAGCCUGGAUGGGCUUGGCGACCUGCUGGGCUGCCAAAGUGGUGAAGCACGUGUGCACGCGCAGGGCUGCCGGCCACCAAGUCUCGUGGACAUCUAUAAAAAAGAGUUCGUUCGUUCCCGUACAAGAAAAGGAAAUUAUUAAAAGGACCUCGUCAUGGUCUC